GGGAUGGGGGGUUACAUUCAUGAUUGGUUAGGGAAGCGGUGGAGGUUUGGUUUCAUUUGGGCGGGUAUCUACAACCCUCUCCCCCCUCCCCCCCCACACACACACCUCGGGUAUGUCCUCGCACAGCUUGCCGAUGCACAGGCACAGCCACCUCAGCAGCAGCGGGUGCCCCGGGGGGCCGUAGGUGAGGCUCACAGGCGCCAGACUGCGCAGCCAGCGCAGCAGCACCGCAAGCAGCUGGCUGCCAGCACACAGGGCCUGGCCCUGUGUGUUUUGGGGGGGAGGGAGGGGGUUGUUUGGGGGUUGUGGGGGUUUGUGGGGUUUGUGGGGUUUGGGUUGGGGGCGGGUGGGUGGGUGGGGCAGGUGUGGGGUUGGGGUUGUGGGGUUGUGGGGUGGGUAAGCCGUCCAUGCAAGCCGGAGUGGAUGCGUCACGUCAAGUACGAAGUGGGGUUGUGGGGUUUGGGAGAAAGUCCAGGCACGGUCAGUCGACGGACAGCCAAGCCAUAGGGCGCGGCGGGGCGGCCGUGAAAUGAUUUGUCGCCACCGCCUGGCCGAUGGCCCUGCCCUUGCCCUCCCUCUCCCUGCUCCUCCUCCCCCCCUCCCUCCGCCUCCGCCUCCCCCUCCCCCUCGCCCUCCCCCUCCCCCUCCCCCUCCGCCUCCGCCUCCCCCUCCCCCUCCUCGCUCUUUUGCAUUGGGUUCUGUUUAGUUUGGGCAGGAAUCUACAACCCCUCUCCUUUCCCCUUCCCCUUCCCCUCAAACCCACCCCCUUCCCCCUCCCCCCUCCCCCUCCCCCUCCCCUUGUCCCCUCCCCUCCACCUUGGGGUGUCCGUCGCAAAUGACCGCCAGCACGAAUGCGGCCUGGGCGCGGCUGUAGAGGUCGAUGUGGCCGUCCACAGAGUCCAGGUAGCGGAUGAAGUAGAGGUGGCCCGCGUCCUUGACCAGGUCAACCUUUGGGGGAGGGGGGGUUGCAAGGAUGUUUGGAAAAGCGGUACAGGAUGCACUGAAGACUGCAGACGAGGGGUACAUUCAUGAUUAGGUACAUUCCUGAAGAAGGUGGGGCAGGGGUUGUAAAUACCAGCCCAAACUGAACCAGACCAAGCCUGGGGCAAGGGACCGGUAGGGGCUACCGGGGGAGGAGGUCCCAUGCCCGAGCCCAACGAUUAAGUCCCAUCAGCGCCCCCAACACGCGACUGUUUCCUUACGGGAUUGGUUCAACGUUAACCCCACACACACCCGCGCACACACCCGCACCCGCACCUGGCAGCUGCGGUCUAGCGCCAGCACCUUGGCCCAGAUGAACACCAGCGUGGAGCGCAGGUCGGAGGAGGUGGUCUGGGAGGGGGGGGAGAAGGUGGGGAGAAGGAGGUGGGGAGGAGGAGAAGGUGGGGAGAAGGUGGGGAGAAGGUGGGGAGGAGAAGGUGGGGAGGAGGUGGGGAGGAGGUGGUGGGGGAUUCCAUGCAUGAUGCACUGAGACGGGAUGAUGCUGAUGCAGGUUGGGGAGGGGAGCAGGGUGGGUGCAGAAGCAAAGGUAUGCGGCCAACUCACUACAAGCUAGCGGAAACAACACCCUCCACCUCCCUCUCCCUCCCCCUCGCCCCCUUUGGUAACGACUUCGUCCGCAGUCUUCAGCGCAUCCCACCACUUUCCUAACCAUCUUUGCAACCCCUUCUCCCUCUUCCCCCCUCCCAGCCCCCCCCCUACCACACAAACACACACACAAACACAAACACAAACACACACACACACACACACACACGCACACACACACACACACACCUGCAGCAGCUUGAGCACGUAUGGGAAUAUGCCCACGCUCAGCGCCAGCUCCACCGCCCAUGGCCCCAUGUCCAGGAAGCGACCCAGCAGCACCAGCGCGCGCAGCCGGUGGACCUGGCUCAGGAGGACCUGAAAGGUGGGGGGGGAUCACAUUCAUGAUCAAUCAAGAACAAGGGAGAGGGGUAACCAUUUAUGAUUAGCUUAGGAAAUGGUGGAGGGUAGGCAAUCCUGGGCCCUGGGGGAACAGCAAUCGUGGGUGUGGGGUGUGGGCGGGGGUUAUUUGCCCGGGCCCAAAGGAAUCGGUCCCAGUAGUCAAGGAACCGUCGGAGGUUAUGAGGGGCGGCGGUGGGGGGCAGUGCGACGACACGCGCCAUGUCCGCCCCAUCUCCCACGCAGCAGCCCGAUGCAUCCCCCUCCUUCCCUCCCCCCCUCUCAUCACCCCACACGCCUACAACCCCACCUGCAGCACGAUGGGCAGCUGCUCCGGCGGCUUCUUGUCUCGGCUGCCGUGCGCCAGCCACAGCUCAAACGCCGUCAGCUGCUCCGAGAAGAAGGCUGUGUGUGAGAGGGAAGGAGGAGAGGGAGGGCGGGAGGGAGGUAGGGGGCGGGUGUGUGUGGGCCAAGGAGUGGGAAGCGGAACGGAGCAUCCUGCCUACUUUUUCCAUGGGGCACAUAACCCCCCAUUUCCUCUCUCCCUCUCCCCCACCCCCCGCGAUAUUUAUCGCCGGCGCCGCUCGCCCUGCUGCUCCACGACGCCUCGGCCCCCAUCCCAUAAGAAUUAUCCCUUGCAACUAACGCCUCUGCCUGUGCUCUGCUCGUUUUCGUUGGCUUUGGUUUAAUUGGGGCUGGAAUUUACAACCCACCCCCCGCCCUCCUCCUCCCCCUCCACACCCUCUCCUCCCCCUCUCCCCCAACUCACGGCUGGGCUUGAACUCGGCCUGCUGGUCGCUGGACAGGGUGGGCAGCUGCACCAGGCACAUCUCAGCAGCCAGGUCCCAGGCCUGGGGGGGAUAGCCAUCCAUGGGAUGGUGUGUAUCAAAUAUGAAGUGAAGUGCCGACGUCCAGAGGUACAGCGGGCACACGCGACGCAUUCCAUACAUGGGGGGGGCGGGGGGGGGGGAGGUACAAACAUGAUUAGUUAAGGAAGUUGUAGGCGGUAGGGGUGGGUGUAGAUGGGUGGCGUAGGCGGUAGUGGGUGGUGGUGCGGCGCAACCCAACACACCCGGUGUUCCCAGGUGCUCUCGCAUUUAAAUCGCUCUGGCUCCCUCCUUCCCCCCACCUCUUCCCCACCUCUCCCCCACCUCUCCCUCCCUCCCUCCCUGUCCCCCCUCCUCAACCUACCUGCCACAUGGGGUGCUGGUGUGUGGGCGGCAGUCGCGGGUAGCUGACGGGCGUGCAGCCGGCGGCGGACAUGAUGCGCUCAGCCAGCAGGAAGUUGCGGAACAGGCUGGCGGUUAGCAGGUCCUGAGGGAGGUGGGGAGUUGGGGAGUCGGGGAGUUGGGGAGUUGGGGAGGGGUUUCGGGGGGUUUGGGGGGGUUGGGAGGGGGGAUUGCAUUCACGAUUAGUUCGAUCUAUCGCGCCGCGCUCCUCCACCAUUCCCAUAAUAUCAGCAUCUCCUCGCAAUCAUCUGGCAUAUCAUCACGAAAUCAGUCAACGCGCAAUCAACGCGCAAUAAAUUAUUGUAUCGUAUUUCUUUUCCUCUCACCGAGCGGAAAAGCUUCUGGAACAUGGGCCGCGGCAGCACGUUCCAGGCGAUGGUGUCGGUGAUGGCCGUGAACACCCAGUUGAGCUCGCCCAGCGGCGACUUGCGGUCGGUCUGCUUGCCGGGGAUGCGGUCGAUCAGGUCCUUGGUCAGGCCGUCGUGGCGCAUCAGGCUGCGGCUGCAGAACCAGCGCAGCGCCACCUGAGUGGGGGGGGGGAGGGGGAGGAGGAAGGAGGGGUGGGUAGGAGGGGUGGGUGGGUAGGAGAGGAGGAGUGCGGCGUGUGUUGAGGGGUAGGUUGCAAGGAUGUUUGGAAAAGCGGUACAGGAUGCACUGAAGAGUGGGGUGACAUUCAUGAUUACUUAAGUGGGGGUGGGAUUGCUCGCCUCCGUCCACCCCGCCCCGCUCUGCACCAAUGCCAGUGCCCAUGCCCGCAACCCCACGUCCCCAAACCCAUCAUCCCCAACCCGGCGUCCCAAACCCAGCAUCCAUAACACAAUCACAGCGCCACACACACAGCCCCACACACCCAGCCCCACCCCCAGCAAUAGCCCCCACCCCACCCACCACCACACACACGCGCGCCCCCACCUUUAUGGGGGUGGUGAGGCAGGCCGUGAACACGUCCGCGGGCAGGUCGGGGUUCUGCGGCAGCGUCUCGCCCGCGCCACAGGCGCCCAGCACAAUGAUCUCCUGCAGGGAGGGAGAGUGACGAGUUGCGUUCAUGAUGAGUUACAGCAAGGGGGGAGUUGUAGAUUCCAGCCCAAACUAAACGGAACCCAAUGUGAUAGAGCGAGGAGGAGAGCGUGCGUGGGGGAGUUGAGGAGUCGAGGAGUGAGGGAAAAGGAGGGCGUACAUCCAGAUGCAGUUCAGGUCUCCUCGAGGCGACGCGUAUCAUCACUGAGCACCCGGCGGGCUGCAGAUCCAGAUCGCUGCCAGCUUCCAAACCGACUGAGAAUCCGUCCCCACCUCCCGCGCCUCCCCCCUGUCGCCCCCCCCUCCCUCCCUCCCUCCCUCGCUCCCUCCCCCCCAAUAUGAUUGCGUUGUUACAAGAGAGGACGACGCGCUAUGCCUCACCAGGCCUCGCGAGGCGUCGUGCCCCCCCGGCCCGCCCGCGCGCUGGUCCACGAGCUGCCUCAGUGCGUUGAGGAUGAGGCCCGCUGCCGAGCAGUCCAGCACGUAGAUGCAGGGCGUCUCAACCCACGACUGUUGGCGGAGCGAGUUGGGGUUGCAUUCAGGGUUAUUUAAGAUUUAAGGAGUGAAGGCGAAGCCAGGAGCAGGGGGUCGGGGUUGGGUGGGAGAUGGGCAGAAAGGGUAAGGGGGAUGAAAGGGACGGGGAGAUGAAAGGAUGGGAGGUGGUGGCAUGAUGCUUCCAUUCAUCCGCCCAGCCCUGGACGUCGGCACCUCACACUCGUGAUCAAAAUCACCGCGUCUCGCGUGGGCGGCUACUCCCCCCUUGGCCCCUCCCCAUCCCCCUUGCCUGCCGUACAGCCCCGUACAGCCCCGCCCUGCCUGCCGUACCUGCAGCUCGUACACGGACAGGGGGAUGUACUGCGUGUACCGGGAGUUGAACACCCAGAUCUCGCCGUUGGCGGUUGGCCGCGGCACGCCGUGGCCGUUGUAGUGGAACAACACCCGGUCGUUCUGUGUAGGGGGUGAGGUGUGGGUUUAGGUGUGUAGGUGUGGGUUUGUAGGUGUGGGGGUGGGGGUGGGUGUAGGUGUGUAGAGCGCGCGUGUAUUGGGGUUUUAGGGUCGAUGCUCCGUUCCUAUGUCUCACUAUGGACUGGACCCCCAUUUUGGUUCGACUUAGUUUGGGCUGGUGUUUACAACACCCCCCCCCCGCCCCCAGCACCCCCGCCUCCCUCACCUUGGCGUAGCGGCGCGCGCUGGCGCACAGCUUCUUGACGUCGUCCACGGUGGGGUCCAGGUGCAUCUUGUACUUGGCCUUGGGCUGCCAGCGCUCGUACUGGGCCUGCAGGUUCUUGCCUGCAUGGCAGUGGAGGGAGGGAGGGAGGGAGGGAGGGAGGGAGGAGAGGUGGGGAGGAGAGGUGGGGCGGGGCGGGGCGUGAGGGGAAGUGUGUGUACAGAAGCGUGCUGGACGACGCGAGACCGUGCCCGUGCCCGUGCCCGUGCCCGUGCCCGUGCCCGUGUGUGUAAAGUGAAUCACAGGCUGGGCUAGCGGCACGGCUGGGAGGGGUCACGGCUGGGAGAGGCCGCGGGGGCAGGAAUGCAGGCAGGCGGGGGAAGACGCUGGGUCGGGAGGAGCAGGAGGAGCAGGGGGCGCAGGGGGAGGCGGCAGCGCCGUCAGCUGGCCUGGUCCGGUCUGGUCCGGUCCGGUCUGGUCUAGCAAGCUGCUGGUCGCCGCGUGGUCUGGCUCGUGCACCGGUCCCAAGCUGCUGCUUGCUGCUGCUGCCGCUGCGGCGGCUGCGGCUGCAGCGGCGGGUGCCGUAGCCUCUUGCAGCUUGCACUAUCCCGACCCCGAGCGCCGGCAACUUCACCCCCCCCACACACACACACACACCACUAGCACACACGCGCAGCUAGGGCGGCGGCAUCGCCCAGUCACGACCCCCGCAGCGACCGCAGCCGCAGCCGCAGCAGCAGCCGCCGUGCCAAACCCCCACAGCAGCAGCAACGGCGUUGCGGCGUUGCGGCGGACGCGGCGCCACAGGUGACCCAAGGAGGCGGCCGCCGCGGCGGCGACAGGUUGCUACUGCAGCUGUGGCGGCGGCAGCGACGGCGGCGUCAGUCGGCUGUGGCUGCGCUUGACUUUGUGGCGGCGGGGGCGUUGGCGGCGUUGGCGGCCACAGCCGUGCCACCCGUGCUGUGCAGCCUUCCUCGCCGCCGCCGCCGCCGCCCCCGACAUCACCCCCGUCCGAUGCCUGCGCGGCGGCCGGGGCCGCUGCCACGCCCACAGCCCACCCAUCCACCCCAGCCGCGGCCGCACGCUCCACAGCCCGCAUCGCUGGUGCCGGCAGCCGCCGCCGAGCCCGCGCAGGCGGGAGGCAGCCUUGUGCCGCCGCUGCCGCACCGCCGCCGCCGCCGCCGCCGCUGCUGCACUCAGCCCGGCUGCAUCGCUCGCCGCGCUGUGGUGCAUCUGGCGGCAGCGGCGACGGCGGCGGCGGCAGUGGCGGCAGCAGUGGUGGCGACGCCCCCCCCCGGGGCCGUCACGCGGCACCCCGCCGCCACAAUGGCCCCUCCGCCCGCCGCCGCCACGUCAGCCCCGCAGCCGCGGUCGUGUUUAACUGACUCCCUGACUCCCUGACUGACCGAUUGUUGGAUCCGACAGAUGAAUCGACACACGUGGCCACGGCCUGUGCCGCCGACAACCCGGGCAACCCCACCGCCGCCACCGCGCCGGGGCCGCGAGCUACCGCCGCUUCUGCCGCCGCCGCUGCCGCCGCUGUCCCUCCAUCCCCUCCCUGCUUGUUUCCCGCACACGCAGCGUGCACACGAGGCACAUUACGUUACUGCAGCUCGCUGCCCUCUGCGGCUUCCGCUUCCGCCGCCGCUUCCGCCGCCGCUGUCGCCAGCUCCUCCUCUCUGGGCUGCUGCUCACCCGCCGACAGAACCAGGCCGCCCCCACUGCCGUCGCUCCCACCGCCAGCGCGCAGUCCCCAGCCUUGCACUGCCCACGCCCACGCCUUGCCAAGUGAUGCAGCCGGCAGCUUCCAUCUCGGCCGCCUCCACCCCCGACACCACCGCCGCCAGCCCCGCCGCCAGCCCCGCUAGCCGCCGCUGUCCCCAAGCCCCAGCCCCCGCGCCCGCCGAUGCGCAGCUUGGCGCGCCGCGCCGCGCCGGCAUCGCGCGGGCAGCAACCACGGCGGGCUGCCGCCCAGUCACGCCGCCACUGCUACUGCCACUGCUGCUGCUGCUGUUGCUGUUGCUGUUGGCGCUAUUUGCUAUUUUGCUGUUGUUACUGCUGCUGCCAUUGCUGCUGCCGUUUGCGCUGCUGCCGAGGAGCUGGCAGUCCUGGCCACCGCCGGCGCCGUGCCACCGCCGCUGCUGCUCCUGGUUCUGCCGCCGCCGCCGCCCCCGCCGCCGUCGCUGCUUCUACCGCUCGCGCUGAAGCCCAGCUGCACCGACCAACUGGGAUGCGCAUACUUGCAUGCGUGUGCAUGCGUGUGUAUUGAGUGCCCGCGUGUGUGCGCGCCACAUCAAACAAAGACACCGUCGCCCCCUCAGACCCGGGCACAAACACACGCACGCUGGCGGCCUCCCGCAGGGGCCGAAGCCCCCCCUGGAAACCCCCACCAACCCCCAACAGCAACCCCCCCGUGAGACCGUCACUUGCGGGACUUAGCUCUGUAGCGCGGCCUCACCUAUGUGCUCCAGCGCUUUCGCCGGCUGGGCGGACAUCGGGUCAACCCAGCACUCCAGCCGCGCGCACGGCGAUAUCUUGAUAACGUCAGGCGGGUCAACGCCGAUAUUGAGGCACAGCACGAGCGCAACGCUGGUCGUCUUGACUUUGUCCUUCUGCCGCCACUUGGAGACCAGCCCGGGAUCGGGCCCGCGAGAGUCGCCAUCGUCGGCCGUGCAGUCGUGCCGCUCCUGCGAGCAUGUCAGUAACAUGCGUCUCGACGAGCAACACAGCUUCUGUCACGCGAAAGGCUGCGCCAUUUCGUAGCCAGCCAGGAAAAAGCCCUCUUCCCCGAAAGCCCUCGUGACAAACGUUUGAGCCCGCGACAGCAACGCCGAGCGGGUUCGCACCUCGCACAGAAUGCGUGGGGGCGGCUUUGAAGGGUCUCCCUCAUUCGCCUGGGUCAGAGGUGGGACCUGCGCGUGCACACGACGGAGGCGUGAGUCCCGAUUCCACGUUCCCCAGUCCAGACAUGAACCAUACAAGGCACUUGCCGGGUCGCUGGUGGUCAAGCGCCUGCUAAUUUCGUCUGCGAGCCCAGCUCCAACGCCCUCAGCGGCAUUUGGUUCAGGUCCGUCUUCAUUCUCCAUUUUUGCUGACGACCACUAGACGUGUCACCUAAUUGCAGGCAUCAUGCCCGCCACUGGAGCACAAAACAGGUCGAGGACAACAGAAACGACGUCCAGCGACACGCCAGGCUUCUUGCAAGCUCAACUAAGGUGUUCUGCAAGUUUUCCUUGUGAUACACUUGCCAUACUGCUUCACGCAAGCAACAAACAAGCAAGUGUCGUGUUUGCAUGAAGUCAUGAAGGCCAAUCGGUGCCAAAAUCGAUUGGCUCACAAGUGCAGUGUCCUUUUAGUAGCGCACUGCUUCUACAUCAACAAGAAACAUAACGAAAAUGCAGGUUUCACGCGCUGCGGUGUGCGCGCGUUCGAGCUUUGUUCGCGUGCAAGCCUUUUCGUCGUGCCCGGUCGUUCGUGUCAGCACUUGUGCUCGUGUGCGUGUUAACAGCGCUUGCCGGAGCGCUGCUCAGCCUCGCCAGCGGCCAUCGCGCUUCGUGGGCGCCCGUUCGGAGCUCAGCGACUCGCUAAAGGAGACGGCUGCGCUUGAUGAGCUGAUCGACAAGCUCCUGAGUGCCAAGUCACAGCAGCAGGUGCGGGUUCGGCAAAAAGGGUCGGUCGCGCCUCGAUUCCUGCCGGCGGCAAGCGCGACGACGCACAGGCUAUUGCAUAGACGCAGUGUUGGCAAACCAGGAUUAGGGUCGGCCGAAUCCGAUCGGGGGGAGCGCCCAGGCGAGUGUGUGCCCGCCGGGUUUGCGAGGGUUGGCGACAGGCCCCUCCACGAGCAACACCCACGCACACAACGCCCGCAGACACACACGCACGCUGCGCGACGUCUCCACCCUGCCUCUUUCCUCUUCACACCCUUCACCCCUGCCACCCUCACUCUGUGUUCCAACCACCACCUCCUCACCGCCUCGCCCCGCCGCUUCCCCACCACCACGACCACCACCACCACCACCACCACCUGCCGGUGCCCAUCCCCGCAUCUUCACUCGCCGCAUGUCUUUAUCUUUUGCUUCCCGCAGCUGGCCCAGCUGGUUGCGGAGAAUGUUGUGGCUGUGGACACCAAGUUCUGGAUGCGCAUCGCCACCCGCAACGACACGGCCGCAUCCAAGGAGGACAAGGACAAGCUGCAGGUGCGGGGAGGGCUGGGGACUCGUGGGAGGGUGGGGAUGGGGAGGAGGGGAGGGGAGGGAGGGCGAUGAGAGGGAAGAGAGGACGAAAGGGAGAGGAGAGGCGGGAGAGGGAGAAUGGGGAGGUGAGAGAGCGGGGAGGGAGGAGGUGGAGGCGAGGAAAGAGGGAAAGGAGAGGGAGACGACGGAGGAGAGGGAGGAUGGGGAGGCGGACGGUCGUGCUUGCCCCUUACCAACAUGCGCACAGCGCCCCCCACUCACCCAACCUGAGCCCCCACCACUCCCACCCCCUCUGUCCUGCUGCUGCUGCGGCUGCUGCUGCUCCUGCUGCCGCUGCUGCCGCUGCUGCUGCUGCCGCGGCUGCUGCUGCCGCUGCUGCCGCUGCCGCUGCUGCCUCACACGCCAUGACUUACUGCUGCUGCUGCUUCCGCUGCUUCCUCAGGGCCUGGCCACGUCUGUGAUGGUGCUUGUGGACACGGUGCGGCGGCGCACGGAGCAGCAGCUGGCGGACAGCGGCGCAGUGCUGCAGGUGGGGGGAGAGGGGUGCUGGGGAGAGGGGUGGGGGUGAGGGGAGGAGGUGGAGAGGGGAUGGGGAAGGAGGUGGAGAGGGGAGGAGGGGAGGGGAGGGGGAGAGGGGAGGAGGAGAGGGAAGGGGGAGAGGGGUUGUAGGUGUGUAUGAUGUGUACGUGUGUGUGAUGUCGAGGGGAGGAGGAAAGGGGAGGUGUGUGAGAUGGGACAGGGUUCAGGCAGGUUGGCGAGGUCCCAUAGGGUGCAGCUGACGCCCGUACCCCAAGCAGACAGUAAACAGUUUGCAGCGGCAGAGCAGGAGUGCAUGGCUGGUCGAACGCCGGAGUUACUGUACCGACAAGUUGCUGGCUGGCUGGAAGUUUGCUGAUGCGCAUUCCUCACGCUCCGGGCGCCCGGCCAGGCGAUAGCACCACACAGACACACCACAACGCCACACUCGCUCGCGAUGCAGAGGAAAGGGGAGGUGGAGAGGGAAGGAGGGUGGAAAGGAGAGAGGUGGACACGACCAGAGGGGGGAGGGGCAGCCGCGAUGCCGCACGUGGGUGUAUGUGUGGGGCUAGCUGGCCUCCUUCACGGGGUCCACUACAGCCUUGACACCCCCUAUGUCGCACAACCUCUUUUCCAACCGUCCUCGCAACCCCACCACACACACACAUACACAGGACAUCCUGGUUGCGGCCGCGGACGACAAGGGCGAGUGGUACCUGCCGCUCACAGACGACCAGGUGGGACACAGGGGGACACAACGGGGGUGAGGGGGGUGAGGGGGGUUGGGGGUGGGGUGACAGUGGAUUUGGUGGGGGUGUGGCGGGGCUGAUGCGGUGUGUUUAUGGUGGGCGGGUGGGCAGGUGAGACGGGCUUGGGUGCGCGGCGGCUGGGUGCUGCAGGUCUUUGCCGUUGUCCGCCUUGGCAAACCCCAUCUUCUUCUGCCCCCAUUCCGCGCCUGAAUUCCAGAUUGAGUCUGUGCGCUAGUUUGGCUCGGGUUGGCCUAGUUUGCGCUGCUCUUCACAACCUCCCCCCCUCCGCCUCGCCCCCUCCCUUCUGUCGCAGGUUGAGUCAGUGCGCGAGGCGCUCAACCGGCACCGCGACCGGCUGGAUGAGGCGUUGCUGUCCAACGCCUUCGCCUGGAUCAAGAAGAGCUCGGAGGACGGGUGAGGGGGGGAGGAGGGGAGGAGGGAGGAGGAGGGGAGGAGGGGAGGAGGGGAGGAGGGGAGGAGGGGAGGAGGGGACGAGGGGAGGAGGGGAGGAGGGGAGGAGAGGAGGAGGGGAGGAGGGGAGGAGGGGAGGAGGGGAGGAGGGGAGGAGGGCUGGAGGAGGGGCUUCGUAGGGGGGCAGCAUGGCAUGGGCGACGACGAGGGGGCGUGUAGGUACCAGCCUACUGCUACCGCCUGGCUUGCCGACUGCUACUGCCACCGCUGCGCCUGCUACUGCCGACUCUGCUCACACUGCCGACCCGAUGCUACUGCCAACUGCCAAUCCCAUUGCUACUGCCGCCUGCUGCUGCUGCUGCUGCUGCUGCUGCUGCUGCUCCUACUACUACUACUGCUGCUACUGCCGCUCCCCACAGCUUCGACGGCAUGGUGCAGCUGCUACAGCUGGUGCUGCAGCUGUACGCGGCGCGGCAGCUGGCCACCGGGGAGACGGAGGGCGUGGAGGGGGCAGUCAACAAGGUGCGUGGCUGCGUGGCGGGUUGUAAACACCAGCCCGAACUAAACCAAACCAAGCCAACAUAGCGGAGGGGUGGCGGGGGCGGGAAGGAUGGCGGGCGGGUAGUCAACUUGACAAAGGAGACCCCUCCUCUGCGCCCUGGCCGCUGGCCGUUCGUCCAUACACGUCUCGCAGCUGCUGCUUCAGUUUCACUGCUUCGAUCGCGAUGCCCACCCGCCUCUUUCCUGCCCGCCUGCCCCCUGCCCCUGGGAUUGGUCCAGAGUGAACCCCUGCCCCCUGCCUCCUUAUACCAAUUAACACACCUCUCCCUCCCCUCCUCCCCCGCCCUCCUACCUCCUCCUGCCCUGCCCUCCCCUCCUCCCCCCCAGCUGCUGGGCUCGCAGGAGAAGCAGUGGACGCCGCUGCUGCGGCAGCUGGUGGCGGAGGGGCAGCUGACGGAGGCGGCCUUUAUGGAGGCGCUGCAGCGCAAGAUGGAGGGCGUGGUGCUGGGGCUGCAGAGCGGCAGCUACGCGCAGCGCGUGCAGGUGUGUGCGGGGCGUGCGGGGCGUGGGGUGUGUGCGGAGCGUGGGGUGUGUGGGGGCUUGGAAGGGUCAUAGCUGGGACCCGCGGGAUGGUGACCAUUUUGCACAUUUCCACAACCCACCCACCCACCCACCCACCUACCCACCCAACCCAACCCAAGCAACCAUGAAUCCCUGCCUCCAUACACAUGCACCCCCGCCCCCCCGUCUGCCUUUUCCUGGGCUAAUCAUGAAUGUAACCCCCACCUCGUCGCCCAGGCCGAGUACCUGAAGGAGGCGGAGGCGCGCGCCAAGUCCGUGUUCCAGGAGAUCGCGGCCUCAGCGCCCAAGCAGGCGUAGGGCGCAGGCAGGCAUAGGGAGCAGAGGGGCGUAGGGAGCAGAGGGGUGCGUUGGUGGUUGUGAAUGGGGGGCGCAAGGGCAGGUGCGCAGGGGCGCCGGCGAGGGAUGUGUAUGUGGGGAUGUGGGUGGCGUGAGGGAUGGGGAGGGGGAGGGGGGAGUGGCGGCCGCGGGCACGCGGCGUGCGGUGGAGGUGGGCUGACGCAGCCAGGAGGCAGCGGCAACGGGGGCAGCGGCAAGCAAAUGGCGGCAGCAGCAAGGAGGCAGCAGUAGCAGCAGCAGCAGCAGGAGGAGGCUGUGGUGUGGGCUAAAGCGUGCGACACGGAAGAAAGGCAGGGGUGAGAGGCCUGAGAACGGAUGCCCGGGGGAUGCCGCCGCCCCCAGCGCCACGGCCAGGAUUGCAGUGCCGUACUGUUUUGGCUGUGUGGGCUGUGUGGGCUGCAUGGGGUUGAGAGUGGAAAUCGAGAGGGUGGGUUGAGCGAGACAGUAGCUCGGCCCGGCAAUGCUGGCGCUGGCUGCUGGAGUAAGCGGUGACGGAGAUCGGAGGGGGGACGAGAUGGUGGGCUAGCCGGUGUGAAGGCUAGAUAGGACGUCGAAGCGAACGGCAGUGGUGCAAAAGCAGUUCUUGGUCAAUGUCGUACUGACUCCGCUCAUCUACCGUACUGUCUACAUGCGGCAGCGCUGCGUGUGGCUUGCUUUUAUUUUUGCGGUUGGAAUGUUGCGUGGCACCGACGCGCGGGAAAGCUGCCGAUGGCGCAUCCUAUAUGAUGGGGGGAGGGACGCAAGGGGGAGGGCGGAUUGCCGUACUGCUUUCGUGGGCGCGAAAAUGGCUCGCGAGGUGACUACGCUUUCCUGCCCCUUGCCAUGUUCCAUCACGAGCUCGCGACUACGCUUUCCUGCCCCUUGCCAUGUUCCAUCACGAGCGAGGCGUGGGAGUCCCAGAGGUGCGGGUUUUAACGUCAUCAUAACGCCGCCUCGAGUCCGGUAAGAAGCACUGCCAGGCUUAUCUCUCAAAGCGAGCAAAGGAUUGGGGGAAACACGAGGGUUUUCCUGAAGCCUGAAGGCAUCAAAAUUGCCCGAUCGAAGUCCAGGCGUGUGCCCGCCAAGCAUUCUGCGUCAUUAUCAACGCCGUUAAAUUGCUACAGCAACAGUCAUUUUUCUUUCCGUGCAGGCCAUAAGUAGCUUCAGGGCACAGCUUGUCUUGAACUGAACACUUUCCUCCGACCUCGUGCUUCACUAGAGCCCAUCGCUGCAUCCUUGACAAAGGUUUUCUAUGUUAAGUAGUUGAAGCGAACUGCCUAGAGGACGCUUUCCGGCGCGUUUGACCUCCGGCAAGCGGAAGGCUUCCUCUCGCUUAAACGAUGCCAUCCUGGGCCCCAGCGCCCGACUUGGCGGAUGAGGACAUAGUGGAAGAUGAUGACCUGUACGUGGGCGGGUUUGGAGGUCGCCGGACAAGUGCACCGUCUGGGGGCAAUCCGCCUCGCGGGCUUACUGCGACGACCAGCUUCAAGGUGAGCGCUGAAACGGGACGCUGAAACGGGACGCUGGAAUGUCGUCGGCGCGGUAGCAGUCGGGGAAGCUGCUUUGUCUGGGGCGAGUUUGAGUUGUGCGACCCCCUCCCCCCGCCAUGCAAAGCGUGCGCACGGCCCGUCACUGGGGCCUGGUGUAAACACCAGGAGUUGACUCGCCCCCCCCCCCACCCCCGUCCCAAAAAACACACAGGACCACAGCAUCCUUGGAUCCGCCUCCGUGUCGGCCAAGGUGCUUAUGCCCUCCAACUCCAUGCCACACGCCGGGCCCGUCGGCGGCACGCACGCGGCCGCGCCCCCGCCCGCGCCCGCGCCGCUGCCCAAGCCCCCCGCCUCCAAUGUGGGCGUCUACCACCGCGGCGCGCCCAUCAUCGCCACCGCCUCCGCCGCCGCCGCCUCGCGGCCCGCCUCGGGGCUGCUGCUCCGCAACCCCCGCGCCAGUGCGCCCGGCGGCACCGCCGCCUCCACCACCGCCGACGGCGGCUACGCCGGCGCCAGCAGCAGCGGCUACGGCGCCAGCGGCGCCAACGGCGGCGCCUCCUUCAGUCGCAACCAUGAGGGCGGCUACUACGGCGGCAGCGAGGCGGCGGACCGGCUGGACAGUGUGGUCAGCCGCAUGCGCGGUGACAUCCUGGGCGGAGACGACGCCUCCACGGACUCGAGCGUGCACGGCGGCGGCGGCGCCGGCGGCGGCAGGAUGGGCGGCAGUAGGACGGGCGGCGGCGGCAGCGGGUUUGGAGCUGGGGCGGGGGCGGGGGCAGGGGCGGGCGGGUUGUCGGGUGUGUUGCGAAGUCACAACGCGCCCGCGUCCGGGCCGGGGGGGCAGGGCGGCUACGGCAACGGCGGCGGCUACGGCGGCGGCUACGGCUACCCGGAGAAGGGGGUUGGUGGCGGCGGGCAUCUGCCGCCGGGGGCGGCGUCGCAGGCCCAGGCGCAGCAGCCGCUGCGCGGCGGCCCCAUGCCUGGGCUGGACAUGGGCGGCGGCGGCGGUGGAGGAGGCAGUGGAGGAGGUGGCCGGCCGCCGCUGGUCCGCAACCUGAGUGCCCACGUGCACAGCAGCAGUCACGCCGCGCCCGUCACGGUGGCCGUGCUGCCCAAGGCCGCCGCCAGCGCGCGGCACCUCAGCGCCGGCGGCGGAGGCGGCGGCGCCUCGGCGGUGGCGGAGCAGCUGCAGCACCCCCCGCGGCAGCUGGCGGCGCCGGCGCUGUCCGCCUCCUACUCGGGCGAGGCGGGUGAGGCGGGCGUGGGGCUCUCCACAGCGCCCGCGGCGGCAGAGGAUGCGGCCGGCUUGGGUUUGCGGCCAAGCCUCGCGCAGCACGCGCAGCACCACCACCAACAUCAGCAGCACAUGCAGCAGCACACGCAGCAGCAGCAGCAGCAGUCGACACCGGCGCCUUCGGUCAUGCUGCGCGCGUCCGCCGGCGCCAUUGUGGCACCGGCGGGCGCGGCGGCAGGGGGCAGCCACCGCCGCCACGACGGCGGCGGCAGCAGCGGAGGUGGAGGCGGCGGGGCUUGGGCUGACGGGCCAGACACAGGCGGCGAUGAGCGGCUUAGCGGCGGCGCCCAGCGGCCCAGCAGCGGCGGUGGUGGUGGCGGUGGCGGUGGACUGCUCGGGCUGUUCAGCCGCAGCAGCUCGGCCCGGCGUAAGUCGGAGAACGCGGGCGGGCAUGGGGCGGAGCCGCCCGGCGGCGUCGGCGGCGGCAAGGGCGCUAACAGCAAUGGCAGCAGUAGCAAGGUCGGUAAGGAGUCGAGGAAGAGCAGCAGUGGCGGGGCCGGCGGCGACGGCGAUGGGAAUGAUGGGGAUGUGCGGGAGGUGGCGGCGGCGGGCGGCGUGGGCGGCGGGCGGCCGCCCAGCGGGCUGCUGAAGCGCACUGCAAGUGCGCUGGUGUCGUGGGCUCGGUAGCAGCGCGGGAGCAGCGAGGGAGGAGCGAGUGUAAACGUGAGCGGCAGUGUGUCGACCGCGGAGUGGCUGUGUGUGGGCGUGUGAGUAGGUAGCACAACAGCAACAACGCAUGAUGCAUGGCCACAAACAGCUCGCCCGGUGACUUGCAUGUCGUACUCACCGACUCACGUACCUGGCGGCGCUGGAGGGCAGUGAGGCUGGUGGCCAGUGCAGUUGCAGGCUGGGUUCCUGCUAGCGAGCACGAGGCGGCACAGGCAGGCUCUGUGUGUAUAUAUCCUUAUAUUGUCAGCGGCUAUCGUAUUCACAAGCCGUGUCAGUAUUAUUGUAGAGUAACUGAGUGGCGGGUGGUUGGAGCGGGGGCGCCAUAGCGCACCAUCGCCGCCAAAUCGUAGCGUCGCCAUCGCGGCCUUUGCAAAGCAAGCGCAUGGCCUGCGCGCUGCCGCCGCAGCGAGCCGGUCAUUAUUUGAAUAUGGUAGUGUUUUGAGUGUUGGGUCUUGGUCCACAUUGGACUCAUGGCGGGCCUCUGCAUCGCCAGCACGUCAGGCCGGGGGCCACACACGAAGCCACGCACGCUCACAUCUCACAACGCAGUGCAGUACCUAGGACGUGUGGGCCGCGUGUGCGUGAGGGUUGUAACAGUGGCGUACUGACGUUGCGAUGCGCGGCACGAGCUCGUGUUGUUGGCAACGCAUGUGGCACGCGUAUGCCGGCAUGUAAAGUGAUGCGGAAGAUGCCACGCGCAAGCGCCUUGCCUGGCCUCCUGGAGCUGAGAGUGCGGUCAUGGCACAUCGACAGGCAGCAAACAGGUGCGGGCAGGCCGUGGAAGGGCAGUAAGGCACGGGCACUCGUUGCAGCCCCGAUACGGUAGUCGGGUGCAGCACGCGAGGGACCAGUGGCCAGUGCGCAGCCACGCAAGUGAACCACAGUGAACCCGAGAAACGUACGGCAAUCCGCAAUCGAGCAUGACAGGCUCCCCGUUUACUCGUGCCGUUUACCCCAGGCCACUUGCUUAGGCGCCAGGGCUCAGGGCACGUGGUGACUCACGAGGGCAGCCGGUGGCCCGGUGCCCGCCUGCCAGGUGUGCAGAGCGGUAGAGCCGCCCAGUUCCGCUUCUGAGCUGGCCGCCUGGCAGGACUGGAGCUCAUGUCCCUGUUUGCACCCCUAGGCCCUAGCUCCUGUCUGGCGGUGCCCGCAGUGCAGUGGGGCGGGUGGGCGUAGGAGUGCCAGGACCGUGCUAUCAGUAUCAGCUGCCUGUCGUGCUGACUUCCGCAUGUCGUGAGGCUUGCCCGCACUCUAGCCAAACGUUACCAUUCCCACCCGGGGCUCAAUUAGGCAAGGGAUACGGAAUCUUCUGCUUUUACACACCACCCAAUGUGGGGCAGCGUCCGUGUUGACUCUGAUCCCGGCUCCGCCCUUCGAAUUGUCCGUGACGGGCCGUUGAGUUCUGUCGAGACCCCCUCCAUGCACUUCCAUCCACCACUCCCGCCUCUCACUCACCACUCUCAUGCUUUGGAACUUGCACCUGCCUGCACGCCUCUCCCCUAAGGCCGCACCCAACUCAGUUGGAGCUAGGUGCCAUCUCGGUUUCUUAUAACAUCAUCGUCAUCCUACUCUACUUGGCAUGGCUCAGCAACGGCCUUCCGCGCACGACCCUAGCCAUUCAACAGCCCGGAUGCGUGCAGCCACAGCCUCAGUCGCGUUCGCUCCCACGGGCCGCUACGCAACAGAUAGCAGCCCGGGGCCUAUCUAGCUAACAACCACAAAUCCCACGUAGUCCGAACUCAACGCUGCACUUCAGCGCAUGUUGGCAAAAUCAAUCGCCGGCCGACCGACCAAUCAGCUCAGUCCUGCUCUGAGUAUGUAGACCGUGCGGGUGUCCCAAUCCAACCAGGUUGUUAAACACAAGGAGCACAAGACACGCGCGAAACACAGCAUCAGUGCUACAGCGCCGCCGGGCAUAUAGGUACGUAUUCACACACAACGCACAGCGGCGUCUGCCGUUCCCACACAUCAAUACAGCGCCCGGCCCACGUCCGGGCCCUAGGCCGCGCCACAGCCGCCCAACCGGCGCACCCACACACCCAGUCCACGGCGCCAGCCGUCAAACCCGCCGGCGCCUCCCGCACUCCUCAGUCUGGGGCGAAGCCGAUUAGUCGACCUCCUCGAUCUUGGGGCCGGCACCCGAGCCGCCCGAGGGGGCAGCGCCGGCGCCGGGCGCGCCGCCGGGCAUGCCGCCCGCGCCGGCGCCGCCCUGGUAGAGGCGGGUGAUGAUGGGGUUGCACACGCCCUCCAGCUCCUUGAGGUGGUGCUCGAACUCCUCCACCUCGGCCAUCUGGUUGGCCUCCAGCCAGUCCAUGGCGGCGGUCAGCGCCUUCUCCAUCGACUCCUUGUCCGAGGCGGACAGCUGGCUGGCCACCUUGUCCUCGCGGAUGGUGUUGCGCAUGUUGUAGGCUGCGUGGGGAGGAGGCAAGGGAGGAGGAAAUGUCAGCACCAUGGUCGUGCAAGGUCACGGCGUCAGGUCCGCUGCUAAUUGACAGGUCUGUCACACGCCCCGAUCAUGGCAAACCUCAGCCUAUCAGCUCUUCCAGCCCGCCCCAGUCCAAGAAAGCCAUACAGCUAAUCCCACCCGCAUGCGAACCCAACCCCUUCCAUCCCCGCUACGGCGCGCAUACACACAAUCACACCCGCUCACCGUAGUUCUCCAGCGAGUUCUUGGCCUCCACCUUCUUCUUCAGCUGCUCGUCGUCAGCCUUGUACUUCUCCGCCUCCUGCACCAUGCGCUCGAUCUCGUCCUUGGACAGGCGGCCCUUGUCGUUGGUGAUCGUGAUCUUGUUCUUGUUGCCGGUGGUCUUGUCCUCGGCAGACACGUUCAGGAUACCGUUGGCGUCAAUGUCGAAGAUCACGUUGAUCUGGGGCACACCGCGAGGCGCCGGCGGGAUGCCGGUCAGCUCGAACUUGCCCAGCAGGUUGUUGUCCUUGGUGCGCGCGCGCUCGCCCUCGUAGACCUGGAUCAGCACGCCGGGCUGGUUGUCGGAGUAGGUCGAGAACACCUGCUCCUUCUUGGUGGGGAUGGUGGUGUUGCGGGGGAUGAGCACGGUCAUGACGCCGCCGGCGGUCUCCAGACCCAGCGACAGGGGCGUCACGUCCAGCAGCAGCAGGUCCUGCACCUUCUCGCCGCCCUCGCCGGUCAGAAUGGCGGCCUGCACGGCGGCGCCGUAGGCCACGGCCUCGUCGGGGUUGAUCGACUUGUUCAGCUCCUUGCCGUUGAAGAAGUCCUGCAGCAGCUGCUGCACCUUGGGGAUACGGGUGGAGCCGCCCACCAGCACCACGUCGUGCACAGUCAUCUUGUCCAUCUUGGCGUCGCGCAGGCACUUCUCCACGGGGUCCAUGCACUUGCGGAACAGGUCCAUGCACAGCUCCUCAAAGCGGGCGCGGGUGAUGGAGGUGGCGAAGUCCACGCCCUCGAACAGGGAGUCCAGCUCGAUGGUGGUCUGCGCGGCGCUAGACAGCGUGCGCUUAGCGCGCUCGCAGGCGGUGCGCAGGCGGCGCAGAGCACGGGGCGAGGUCUUCAGGUCCUUCUUGUACUUGCGCUGGAACUCGUUGGCGAAGUGGUUGACCAGGCGCUCGUCGAAGUCCUCACCGCCCAGAUGGGUGUCACCGGCAGUGGCCUUGACCUCGAAGAUGCCCUCCUCAAUGGUCAGCAGCGACACAUCGAAGGUGCCGCCGCCCAGGUCGAAGAUGAGCACGUUGCGCUCGCCCAGGCCGCUGUGGUGGGAAGGGAGCAAGGGAUGGGUGGGGAGGGAGAAGGUUAGCGUCGAGAGCAGGAACCGUGUGUUUGCUUGACCGCGGUCCGCUGCUUCGCUAGGGGCGCAUACGGCGCGCUGAAGGGCACGAGCACGGAUGCUGCGCGCUGGCUCGUGGUGGCUGGUUUUGGUCCCUUGGCCCAGUCUGGACUCUGCACAUCACCGCCCCCGCUUCCAGCUCCAUCGCACCGCCGUGCCGACCCUACAGCUGCGCGUCGCCGUACGCCCAUCCUGAAACCCUGCGGCACGCCCUCACCCAACCCAGCUGCAGAGCCCCUCAGUAAGCAUGCAGCGACCUAAGCUCACCUGUCCUUCUUGUCCAGGCCGUAGGCAAUGGCGGCGGCGGUGGGCUCGUUGAUGAUGCGCAGCACCUCCAGGCCGGCAAUCAUACCGGCAUCCUUGGUGGCCUGAAAGCACAGGAGAACAGGGAACAGGGAGCGAUGGCGUCAGCACGCGGGUCAACCGGUUAAGCCGAGUAACAAACACGCUGAGUGGUGGACAGAGAUGUCAAGAGCGGGAGGGUGCGCGAAGGUUCUGGCGAGUGGCAACCCCAAAGGCCGCGGUGGCACCCCAAGCCCCCCGGUGCCGCGUGCCGUGCGUACCUGGCGCUGGGAGUCGUUGAAGUAGGCGGGCACGGUCACCACGGCCUUCUUGACCUCGCGGUCAGCGCCCAGGAAAGCCUGAGCGGUCUCCUUCAUCUUGAUAAGCACCAUCGAGGAGAUCUCCUCAGCCUUGAAGACCUUCUCCUCGUUCUUGUAGGAGACUGCGAGCGCAAAGAGAUAGGUUGUGAGCAACUAAUUUCGCACACAGCACGGACCGCUUUGCGAGCUGAACUUACCAACGAUCUCGGGCACAUCGUGCGCGCCGGCGCGAACCUGGAAAGGCCACAGCUUAAUGUCCGCCUGGACAAUGGGGUCCGAGAACUUGCGGCCAAUCAGGCGCUUGGCGUCGAACACCGUGUGGCGCGGGUUCAUAGCGACCUGUGGAAGGCAGGUCGGCGAAGGCGGGUAAGUGGCUGCGCGCGCUGAAGUCGGCCCGCCCAAUUCGCAACGUACCUGGUUCUUGGCGGCAUCACCAAUCAGACGCUCAGUGUCCGUGAAGGCCACGUACGAGGGAGUGGUGCGGUUGCCCUGAUCGUUGGCAAUAAUCUCCACGCGGUCAUUCUGCCAGACACCCACGCAGCUGCGAGCAUUGAAGCACGCCAAGGGUCAGCUGGUGUCCAAGAGACGUUGAAGGUGCAGAGGGAGCUCACCUGUACGUGGUGCCCAGGUCAAUACCGAUAGCGGGGGCCUCCUUGCCCAUGUUUACUGACUCUUAAGCGAGUUGAGUGGUUAUGUAUAGCGGCAGAAUAGUCGCGUAUGUAUAAGUGCUCGUUUGUCGCUGAAAGUGGAGGUCACCGUUCGGGGUCGCGGGCUUUUAUACCGGAUGGGUGCCGCCAGCGGGCCGUAUGGCGCCUUCUGGACGCCGCGCGCCCCAUCGCGGCCCUUCCAGAGCUUCCCCCGCCCUCAUAGCCCGCCAAAUCAGUCCUGUAGCUUCAUACAAACAUACGCACCAAUCAUGUCAAGCCUCAGCGAGCUCCCCGCCGUCACGCAGACAUAUGUAAUUUGCGAUCUCCAAUCGCGCGCACGCCAGACCCGCUGUCCCCGGCAGAUCGCUCCAAUGAAUAGCUCAAGUGCAUUAAUCUACGGUUCUGGUUUCGCCUGGCGCAACGGCGGCUCGGGCUCGUUUGGCGCCCUCAAGUCGGUUCUCGAACCGUCGCGGCCCUUCGCGUGACGUGUGCCCUGCGGAGCUGCCGGCCGGGGCAAGCGGCCACCGCGCUGAGAACUCCACCUUCCCGAGGUCGGCGGUGUUGCAAGGGGCUGUAGCAGGAGCAAUGCACGGUGAGGCGCGUAAUGCCUUCGCGUAGGGUGGGGUUGGCAAUUGGCACGCGGCUGGGAGCACCCGGCCUGUCACGCCCACGUCACUGCACUGGGAGCCGGCCUGGUUGGCUUAGGAAAGCCAUCAGACCGCAUGAGACCAUGUGUGUGUUGAAUGUCGGGCUGGUCUGGUCUGGUCUGGUGUGUGACGCCCCGCCGGCAGCAUGUGCGGCUUUGCGGGGAGGGGGCUGUUUGGAGGUGGCCAAAGCGGCGGCGAUAUGGCUGUCGACUGGAAGCCUUCUAUGAGCUUUGGGUGAGCUUUUGAAGGGCUUUGACGGGCUGGUUUGGUGUGAGGCGGGGUGAAACCUCGGGCGUUGGGUGCGAUGGCGUGUGGUUCAGCCUCUGCGGCGCCUACACACUGCAGCACUUGCACUGCCGUGCCUCGAUGCAUGAUGUGGGCAGGCGCUGGGCCGCUGCCCUGGCGCACCACCCACACUCGAGUGCUGACGUGCCGACGUGCCGCCUUGUGGCGCAGCUGCGGGGUCGGCUGCCGGUUGGGUUACGGGAGGGCCUGCGAUCCGGGGCGUCGCCACUGGUGUUCCGUUCGUGUGUUGCAAGGGCCGUGGGGGUUCAGCGUGUGUAUGCGGGACCCCGGAGCUGCCCCUUCACAGGCUCCCGGAUGCCUCGCCAGAUCCACAGCUUCGCAUGCACCAAAACCUUUGCAAGCCGGGGCUUGUCAGCCCCACCAUUGCUCGAAGAAUGGCCUCAGGGUUUUGGGGGGGGGGGGGGGUUGGGGCUAUAUGGCGCGCCACGAGCACACGGAGCAGCUGGGUAGGGGCGCCGCGUUGAGAAGGUGGGGAGCGGGAAAGCUGGCACGUGGGGCCGAGGGCUACGCGCCCCACUAGCGCUGCGGGGGGUGGGUUGGGGGGGGGUGAAGGGGCUCGUCCGUGUCACGCAGCAAGAGACACAGCACGCACGCGAGAAUUGUGGGCGCUGGAGGAGGGGGGUCACUCAGCUUCGGGGGCAGGCACGGCACGUUAGCUCGCGCUGCUGCGGGCAUGCCCGGGCGACACUCGCGCAGCCCGCUCCCUGUCGAUAUUGCAGCAACUGGGCCCCACAGCAGAGCACCGGGUCCUGCCGGGCCCGCACCGCCCUCCACGGCCACACAUUCCCGCAGGCAGAUGCUCAGGUGGGGCCCCGUGGGUCUCUCCUCCUCCCGGUCUCUCCUGUCACCGCCUUCUACUUCCUCGCCAUCAUCACCCUUUCGCGUUUAUUUUACCCUGCAAGAACGUCUUAAAAGCGUUAGAAGCUCUAUCGACAGGUGUAUAAGCUCUCCCGAAGCCAGUUCUGGGCUUUGCUCUCGCGCGGCCCCUUAGCACUGCCCGAUUGCUCCGAAAGCUCUCAGGUCAGAACGCAGCGCCUUAAGCAGUAGCUGCAAGCAGCCAUAGGCGCAACAGCCGCAACCACACAAGCCCCGCGACAGCGGACAGCUGCGACUCUGCAGCAGAGCCGGGUCCACAUGCCGACCCUGGGCGUCAGUAGCAGCGCCGCGGCGGGCCGCCCCGGCGGCGGCGGCGGCAGUGGCGGCGGCGGCGGCAGCAGCGGCCCGGGACUGGGGGGCCCGCCGUCGCUGCGGCAGUAUCACUCGCCGCUGCGGCGCUGGGUGUGGGCGGCGGUGUGCGCCAACCUGGCCUGGGCGGGCGUGUUCGCGGGGCUGUGUGCCGCGUCCUACAAGGUGGAGACAGGGGAGGGGAGGGGAGGCGUGGGCCAGGCAGGGGAAGUGGAGACAGGGGAAAGGAGGGGAUGGGGGUGUGUGGAGGAUGGAGGUUGGCAGGCGGGGGGCGGUCCGCAAUGCGGGACAGGGCAUCAGCCGUGUGCAACGCGUUAGCUGCGUCGUGGGUGUUUGGGCGCGUGUGCGGGCGUAAGUGCGGCAUGCAGGCCCGCUGAUGUGAGCGUGUUGUACUGUACGGUAAGUGCCAGGAAAGCACAAGGGGAAUGAACGGUAUGUGGGAUACAGAACGAUUGUGCGCCUGCGCAUGUGUACCGUGUGUACCAUACGUGUUCAGGGCUUCAAUGCAGCUGUGAGUCAGCUGGCGGCGGUGAAGGACGCAAGUGACCGCGCGGCGGCGGCGGGCGGUGACGAGGCGGCGGCGGCGGCGGAGCAGGCUUCGGGACUGCCUCCCGGGACCAAGGCCAGCGACUGGUGGGUCGUGUGCGUGCGUGCGUGUUUUCGGAGUUGUGAGCGCACAAGGGGGAAGGGCCGCGUGAGUGUGUGUCUGUGUGUGUCAUGUAUAAGAGCUUGGUGGUGCGGGAGCGAUGGCAAGGGACACACUGACCACGUCAUGCUGGCUAUACGUCCACGUCACACUGCCGAUCCCUCAUCCACCUGCAACAACACAACAAUACAACAACGCAACAACGCGGCAACACAACCGCAGGCAGGCGCUGUUUGCCGCGGCGGCGGUCAGCGCGGCCUUUGCGGUGGCGCUGACCAUCCUGUUCCAUGUGCGUGCGUGCGUCCUGGGGAAGGCGCCGUGCAGCUGCCGUGUGUGUGGGAGGGCGGUGGCGUGUUAGUCAGAGAGGGGACUAUAUGCCUGAGACCAACGAGUGUGUGUGUGAGGGGGGGCGGGGGGUUGUAAUAACCAGCCCAAACUAAACCGAACCAGGCCAAACUAGUGGUUCUAUGUGUAUGUGCCCGGGCCCAAUGAAACAGUCCCAUCAUGGGGGUUGGAAGGGGAGAUAAUGGCCACCAUGGUGUGUCUGACAGGGUACGCAUGCUCCGCCUGCCACCGCCGACUGGUGGUGCCGCUGACGGGUGGUGCGCUAACACCUGGUUACCCGGGCUCUUCCCUCCCCUCCCCGCAGGCCUGUGCGUUAGCUCUGCUGCUGUGCUCCUUCAAAAGCCUAGCUGACCCGCACCGCCGCUUCGGCCGCGGCUUUGUGGCGGCGGCGGCGGCGUGUGUGGGGCUGCACACACUCAACAUAGCGCUGCAGGUGAGGAGGGGCCGGGCGGGUGGGCUGUGAACGGGGGAGUUGCCGAGUGGGCAGGUGGGUGUGUGGGCUGUGGCCUGUGGGCUUCGAUCCGGCAAGGCUGGCAAAGGCUUCCCCUCCCCCCCCCCCGCAGUUCCAAGGCUACGGCCCCACACUGGCCACGUGGCGGCACCGCCUGUCCGCCGCCGCCGCCGCCGCCGCCUCCUCCGGCUCCCCCUCCUCCUCCGCCGCCUUCAACCCGGCGCUGCUGACCGCCACGCUGGCCUUCGGCUGGCUGUCGUUCCUCAACUACUCCGCCCUGGCCGUGCUGCUGUUCUUCUGUGAGUCACGCCGCGAUACCUGUGUGGGGGUGUGGGUGCGAAGGGGUGCAAUGGGGUGCAACUGUCGGGGGGGGGGGGGUGUAGGUGCCAGCCCAAACUAAGCCAAACCCAAUGCAAAAGAGCGAGGAGGAGAGCGGGGGUGGGCACAUUGAGCUGGGCUGGGCUGACGGGGCGGCAUGGCGAGGGGUGCGGUUGUGAUGUGAAGCGGUGCGUGUCGGCCGGUCGGCCCGAGGUGCCGGCCCAACCUGUGCCGUCCCUGUGUCAGCCCCGCCGGCCGGGUGGUCAAUGCUCUGCCUCUGUGCCCCCGCAAGUGGCGAAUCCGUGUGUCAGGGGCGACUGGGAGAGCUGGGGAAACCCAUGUUGAUCCAGGUGUGCCUGACGUGUGUGCUUUUGUGUGUUCGUGCCACACGCGCCCCUCUGCUCUUGCUUGUCCUAGAUCACAACAACACGCGCCCCUCCGCAGGGAACGACCCGGUGGAUGUGUACCUGUUGGACCGCUCCCCCGCCGGCGCGCUGUAGCAGCACUUCGGGAAAGAGGGAAAGGCAGUAGCAGGCAGCAGCGCGGGCAACUGGAGAGGCCACCGCCACCGACAGUUGCGGUGUUGCACUCAUGAUGCGUGGGUUGUGACACCUGCGGCCUGCUGCGGCUGGCGGCGACCAGCGUUUGGCACGUGCAUUACAGAAGACGGGGACACAAGGGAAGGAAGGUGUCGACCCCGUGCAUGCAACUGCGCGUGGGGGACGGUGGGGUGACGUGGGAGACGGGAGCCGGCUGAAGGGGUGAGACGACGACGUUUGAUGACAGUGCUAGUGGCCUAGUGCUGGACUAUGGGAGGCAUGUACAACACCUGAUACUGGGGUUGACUAUGGGCACACCAACAAGCCGACAUGGUGACGGAGGCCAGCGGCCGCCGACGCAAGGGUUGGGUAUGGGGCGUGUGCCAUGCGGGUUGCGGAGGUGGUGGCGGCGGCCGUCUGCGAUGUAGGGUGUUCCACUGCAUGUACGGACAAAGGCUGCGGGUACGGACACAGACACGGCGGUAAACCGGCAUGGCGUUGAGGCACAGUGGCUCCCCGGCGACCGAAUCUCAAAUAUAACGAAGUGCGUGUUAGACGUUGAAACUGACCCGACGUGCUGUGCGCAACAUCCCAGCAUUCCGACAUCUGUGGGUUUGGCACGCGUGUCAUGGCAGCGUACUAGCCCUUGCGCCCCGGGAGUUGGCUGUGCCCAUCACUCCCGCCUCAGGGACACCCCGCACGCCGUGCACGCGCGCAUACGGCACACCGGCACUCGGCUCAGAACACCCCACACUGACAAGGCAUGCGACGCUCGAUGAAUCGCGGCAGUUGGCAAGCUCGUCGCCCCCUGCAAUUUCAAUGCAAGCAACUGUCUCGCCAAGGGAUCGGGGCUGCUGCCGCAGCGCAUGCCGCAUUCGGGCUGCGCUGGCAGGCUUGCUGGCAGGUCCACUACCUUUCCUUUUGCACUAACUCAUAUACUUGUACAUCAGGCUCAGGCUUCUUGCUUGUCAAGUCGCAUCACAAGCAUGGAUGUACGACAUCAUCGUGUGCAAGGCAGCGUGAUGAGUAAGGCAGCAAGCGUCAUCCGCCAACAGCACCUGUAGCAGCGGUACCGUGCUCCGAGCCUCUGAGCCUCUGAGCCCCAUCACGCACCGCCGGCGGAGGGAGCGCACCGCCGGCGGCCAGGCACACCUUUGCAAACACCCAGCAGCAUUGCAUCAGCGGCCCCUCAGUGACAGCGCCACCGCAGCCCACGUACCACCCGGCGUCACCACCCUUAAUUCGGGAGCGCAUGUGCCUACCUGCCAUCCUGCGCCCUUUCCCACAUCUGGACCUCGCACACCCAAAUCAUCACCGCUUCCUAAACUCCUUGGCACCGACAGCCCACUGAUCUGACGCCGCUGCAGAGCUGCCACGCACAACCAAAGCCUCCCGCUGUCCUACUGCAGUGGCGCCAAUUGCAUGCAGCAGUCCCAGCCAGCAGCUGCGCUCCCUCGCUCACUCUCCUCGGAGUGGCAGGGCGGCACCUGCCUCCAUGAAUUCCUGCGGCGGAGCUGGGCGUCAGGGCAGGGCUCCUAUCUUAAUGUCUCCAGACAUUAAUUGGCCAUUUUGGCCGUUUCCUAGACAUUCCUCCCGGGGGCUAAUGUCUGGGGCGAGACUUUGUUGGCCCGGGUUUGGGGCGGGUUUUGUCCGAAGUCCUAUGGAGAAGCCCCCAAACCGCCAUGUGCCCAGACAAAAGACGGCGGCCACCCGGCCGUUUUUGUCUGGAGCUAGACAUUAGCCCGAAAACAAGAUACGACCCCUGCGUCAGGGCCUCAGGGGAUCGUAAGUGCAGAGCCCUCGGCAGCAUGCCCUUGCCGCAGCCCUCUCGUGCCCCUGGCAUAGAUAUCCCACACAAGAAGGAUCAGCACCAAACCUCACAGGCAGUCAAAGCACCAAACCAUUGCCCCUCGCGGCCCUCCCGCACACUACUCCCAGCUCCCCACGCCGUACACCCAGGCAGGUAUCUGCCCCGCCCCCGGCCCCGCCUCCUGACCGGGAAGCGAGCCCGGCCUGCACCCCUCGCGUCACCCGGGUGUGCCAUCCAGCUCCCGCCUCCCACCUCCCACCUCCAUGAAUUCCCGGCGCGGCUGCGGCGUCCUGCCCAUGCAUGCGCAUUCCGCAGCUGCCGCACAACCCGGUGGCGGCGGGCGUAGCUUCCACUGCCUCUCAAGGCAAACCUGUGCUGGGCAGUGGCGCGGGCUGCAGCAUGCAAAGCACAUCUGGGGGGGGGCUGCGCACGCCAGGCUGUCCACGCCAUGCCUUCCUGCCCGCCCCCAGACACGCAGCCCACCCCUACAUACGGCCCUACCUCGCAUGCAACCCGCCGGCUGGGCCACGGCAACGCGGGACUAUGCCUCGUACCACCCUCUGCUUUCCCUUGUACUUGGAGUUCAAGGACAACGUGCAAGGCCACCCCCCAACGCAUGUAUGUGUCCCUCCCAACACCAACUCCCGGGUUGCGCACCUGGCCGUUGUGUGCAAACGAGAUACCGGCUCACGCGUACACCGCUAUGCACUGCCCGUGGGACGCGGCUCAGGCGCUCAGCUCCAGCUCCAAAGGCACUCAGCUCCAGCUGACCAGCUCCAAAGACAGGCGCGCACACGUUUGCAGUGAAUGGCAGUCACCUGUGCAGGGGCAAACGCACACAGGCACAAGCACCAGCACCAUGCAGCUGCUAGCACGGAGUCGCUUGCCGCCCCUCAUCAUAAGGCCCAGAGUACAAGUAUGCCAUCAAGCCCUGUGCCACCCACCUGAUUUCCCAACGCCACAGUGCCAGAAAAUCCACUGCUGCGCGGUGGUGUAUUGCCGUGUAGGCGUCCAUGGCUAAAGAGAAAAGAGGUGCACUGGCUUACUUUGCGUCGUGAUCAGUUACAACUGUCAGGCGUCCGCAGGGGCGCGCCGUUGCUCACUGUCAAUUCCCGGUGUGGCGAGUUGCGCACACAAUCUCGGGUUAUUCAUUUGGGUCACAUAUUGAAGCUCCACAAACCGACUCUCCUAUGUAGUUGCGAACCAAGAGUCACGUUCCUAGCCUACUCAAAGCCUCUGCCAUAGACGAAGGGCAUCACGUACGGCUCUCUUCAAUCUUACGACAGCCCACGAUGUCACCGCCGUGCUAGCAGCAUUUCAUAAAUCGCCAGAUUGAUGUCUUCAUAUACAAAGCUACCAGUCAAGCAGCAGUCACAAGCGUUUGUCAAGUAAAUCGUCGUCUUGGUCAACCGUGUGUGUGUGCGUGUGGUGACAUCGAAGUCACAAGAGUCAUGCCAUGUGGGUCAGCCGUCAUUCAAGUCAGCGUCAAGCUUCAGACCCCCGCAACCAAGGGGGUCACUCCUGCUACGCGGGGUCGCGCGGCGUCGUGCGCACUGCAACUCACGCCAAGGGGCGCCCAUGCCCUCUCGCAAAGUCCCCGCAAAAAAUUGGGCAAGAUGAAUUCUACACUUUAUAGGAGUCAACAGUCUUCCGCGCCCAAUCACGCGCUCAAUGCCACUGCCUGCGCAUCAGGGCUAAGCCUCUGCAGCUCAUCACAUGCUGCGCUGCGACCAAUCCUAAUGGCAUCGCUUUACUGAGGGCUGUUGGGCAUCCAGUUCUGGAACACGCCGACCUUGUGGUUGCGGAUGCGGGCAUCGAAGAACUGCUUAAACGAGUUGUCGUAGCGCUGGGCCGCGGCGGCGCUCUUCUGCUCGUCUUCGUAGUAGGCGAUGCUGGAGGUCUGCAAGGCGGAUGCGGAGGGGAGGGGAGAGGGGAGUGGGAGUCAGGACGGGGAAGGAAGGAGGCGGGGAGGCCGGGGCGGGGAGACGCGUCGUUCAAGGGCCGCACAGCUAGGGCUUCCGGAAAUUGCUGGCACUGGCAAGCGACCGCACAACACCUAUCAGUCUAUCAGUCCAAAUGCGUGAUGGCUGGCAAGGCUGUGUUGACGUGUACACUUGAGCUCGAAACGGAAUUGUGCGGAAAAAGGUUCCCGACGACACAAUUGUGGCUAGCCGGUCGGCUCACCUCGGGGUCAGCGGUGGGCACACGGCAGCACAUCGCGACGAAGGCAGCGCUGGCGUAGGUGAUGGGCAGCAUCAGGAUGUAGGCCUGCGGGAUUAAGGCACAAGCGGGGUGUCAGCGCGACCAGCAUGCGGAAUGUGCUGGCGUUGGCAAAAAGCGAGUGACGACCGCGACAGCACGUAAGGCAGCGCUGCGUGGUGGAAUCAGAACGACUCACAUCCAGGGGCAGCUUGAAGGGCAGAGGCAUUCUUGAGCGGCGACGAAGGAAAGGACUCGCGGCGCGAGAGGAAGGACUAGUAUUAGUAGUGGGCGAAGGGAGCAGCGAGUAUUCAGUGUGCUUGUGUGGAGCUGAAUUGCUAUACACCAAAGGGCUGGCCGGCGCGGCUUAAAUAGCGUCGCGAGCACCCCUCGCCAUUCCGCGCCCAUUCCGUCCUUCGGUCGUCCGGGACCGCCCCCGUCCUUCGGUACCGGCGCGGCUUGCAGACCGCGCCCAAGAGCCCCGCUGAAUUUUGGAUAAGUGAAACCAGAAUAUCAUUAUAGAUUGGGUACAAGCUCCGGCACUGAGCGAGCCCAACGAGUUCGACUUAAACGUCUCGUAAGCCUGUCACAGCUUGCGCGGGUUUGCAAGCAUACGAAUAGGUUUCGAUAACGUGUAUCUUUCGGACACAACGAAAGUAGACAGACAGACACACAAGAAAAGUUGACACAUCACUCCUUUGUACCGCCCGUUGGGCCAGAAGCUUGGGGCGGGUCCAUUCUUGCUUCCGGCGCUUGCGCGCUGGCGCGCGCCGAUACGAGUCUGGGCUAUAUGUGCCGAAAACUAUCAUUAGAGCGCAACGUAAUGCACGCAGUGGUGUCGCGGGGUGUCCAAGGGUCGCCCUGGAACGAUGCCAAACGCGCCAGCCCGGACACGUCCCGUUUUGGAGGCCCAAGGCGCCGCGCAUUGUCACAGGGCUGAUCCUUAGCUCGUCCCGGGACGGUUACUCAGGCCGCGGGGAUGGUAUUCCGGCCGCGCAGCUGCGAUUUCAGUAUGGGCUUUCCAUUGUUGCCACUUCACACCAAAAGGCAGUCGAAGGGGCCUACCAAGGCGGGCUUAACGGCCCAGGGUUGACAUAGGAGUGCAUAAGAAGCCUUGAUGCGGAGGAGUCAAAGGGAGCUCAUGGCCGCGGCGAAGGACAUUUCGUCCCCGUCAAAACGGCCUCAUGCUGGGGUGGAAUUUCGCUGUGGCCACAGCUGCUCUUGUUGCCACAUUUUGCUUUGCUCUUUGUACUCGAGGCAUUCGUUCCCGCCUCGACUCGACACAAGUCUCUACUGCCGCAGCUUAGCGGCUGCCAUGGCGCUCCAGCGCCAGCAACCUGUACCAUCACCUCUCAUUUUGAUGCUCUCCACGUGCUCACGCGCCAACCAGACCGUAAAACACGUGAACACGGUGAACUGAACCUCACUGCUCUAAGGCUCGCAUUACCGCAACUAGUAUGCCUGCCGGCACCAUUCCAAGUCGUAACGCUAUCCGGGAUGUUGCACACUAACACGGCCCCCUUCCCAUUCUACCCGCCGCUCCCUGCCGUUCCCUCGCUGCUUCCGCACACCACACUCCAAGCCCUCCUUGCCCUUCUGCCGCCUUUCCCUUCAUCAAAAGAAACAACUCAAGCCCUCAACCCAAAUCUUACUGCACAUUACUCUCAGAAACCAAUGCGAUAUCACCACCUGCGUCAAAUUCACGAAUUUCACUUUCGCCACUGUGCCUCAUCGCUCAUCACCAAUGUGCAUCCUCAUACACACACGCGCACACGCUCACACUUGCACACGCACCAAACAAGAAGCGAGGCGCGCCCCGCCCCAGCCCAACCCUGUCCGGCUGCCCUGGGACCCACACGCAGGGCUGGAGGCCCGCCAGUAUGGGCCGCGGCGGCGGCGCCGCCGCCGCCCCAGCCCCCCGCCUGAGCCGCACCCGCUCACUUCUUCUUCUUGGCCUCAGCUCCCGAAUGGAAGGCCUGUAGGGCAGAGAGCAAAAUCCAAACGCAAGUGCAGUGAGGACGGCUGGCACGCCACACCGGCACGGUCACUAUGGGCCGGGGCGGCUGCAAGCGCGCUAGUCCCUCAGCCCUGAAGGCGGCCGCCACCCUCCCAUCCAAGCCCGCCAGCCCUCCCUGCCGCCCAUCGACUCCCGGUGCCCCCAGCCCGCAGACCCCGCAGUCGGUGGUCCGUUUGCGGUUCUGGGUAUCAAACAUGAUUUGGCAUUGGUUUCAACUACCACCGCCGCCUCGUUUUGAGCUGGGAUUGGACUUCACUAAACCCCCAACCCCGCAGCUCCCCGCCUCACCUUGGCCUUCUCCUUCUUGAGCCGCUCCUUCUCGGCCUUAGUCAUCUGGGCAGGGCCGGGCCGGGCAGGGAAAGCAUAAGGACAGCUCAGACGCAUCCAGCAAAGAGGUACAGCUGUUGACGUGCGUUGCGGAACUAAUGCGGAGCUGAUGGCGACAGUGCGUGUGCGGUGGCACACACCCAGCGCCGCGACCACGCCCGCCUCAUCCGGCCGUGCAUUGUCCACACCGCCAGACACACGCACAAUCACACAGCAUCUCCCCCACGUGACACGCACCUUGGACUUGGCCUUUAUGUUGUCCUUCUCGAUCUCCUUGACCUUGGCCUCCUUCUCCUCCAUCUUGGCCGCCUCAUCCCUGCACGGCAUGAUGACAUGGGACGCGUCAGCGGCGGCGGCGGCGGUGCUGACAUCACAGCUACACAUCAGCAGGCACACACGCUGUCGCCUAAGCCCGGUAGAGCCCCGAACGCAGUGCAAACCAACAGCGCGCGGUCAGAGGUCAGCCCGGUUGGCUCUCUGCCACGCAGCUGCACUCGUUGGCACAAAAGGCGCUGUGCAAUAACCAAAUCUUAUAGUAAAUUGUAAAUUUAAACAUUACGCAAAAUACUAUAAACUCACUCGUUCUUGGACAGGUAGUAGUCGUAGUCGCCCUGGUAGUCCUGCAGCUUCUGGCCCUCCACCAGCAGCACGCGAGUGGCGAUCUGGGUCGAGGCGGUUCGAGGUGGUGGUUAUGGUUGUGGUUGUGGUUAAGGGUGCGGUUGUGGAAGAAGGGGAGAGAAGUGCAGCGGCAGCGGCAGGGGCAGGGCCUCAGGCGACAGGGGCACGGGGCAACGGUGUGGUGAAGGGGCGCGCGGCUGGUGAGGGGCCGGUGGCGUGAGGCACGUGCCGAGCCCCGGAAGCCCACUCGCUCCCCACACGACACACCCGCACGCGUGUGUGUGUGCGCCCACGACCGCCACAUCCACCACGCACGAAUCAACCGCCCUGACCGCCAACCGUCCCAACCGUCCCAACCGCCAGGUCCGCCCCUCCUCACCUGCCGCAGGAAGUAGCGGUCGUGGCUGACGGCGAUGACGGCGCCCUGGAAGGCGCGGAUGGCCUCCUCCAGCGUCUCCUUGCUGGGGAUGUCCAGGUGGUUGGUGGGCUCGUCCAGGACCAGCAGCGUGCCCUGCGGUACGGCAGUUAGUUGGUUACGGUAGUUGAGAAGUGCCCGCGUGCAUUAGUAAGGAUAGAGGCACAGGGGUGACGUGUGUGUAAGUGUGCGGGUAGGGGGGAAGCGCAAGGACGGCGAGGGAGGGCGCAACACGGUGAUUGUGACAGCGAUGGUGCACGUGUCGGCGGUUGCCCCAGAAGUCAGCGGUACUCCGUCGGUCCGCCGCCGCUCCGUCAAGCUGCUGCUGCUGCUCGCCUGCCCCGGCCCCACCCGUCCAACCUCCCACACACACAUGCAAACACACACACACACACACACACACACACACACACACACACACACACACACACACACACACACACACACACACACACACACACACACAUGCAAACACACACACACACACACGCACACACCUGUGUGCACAUGAACUUGGCGAGCGCCAGACGCGCCUUCUCGCCGCCACUCAGCACCUUGACCUGUGUGCCAUAGUGAGAGAGUGCUUUGUGAAUGUGGGCAAAGAAGCUGGCGAAGGGGACGAGGAGUGUCAGGGGUGCGGACAAGUCAUAGUGCUCCUCAAGGCCAUUCGCCGCACAAAAACACGCCUCUAUCUACUACUCCACUAGCCAGCUGCCUCGUCCCCAAUCCCUGAGCUCGCGCGAUCUCUAUUGAUAUCGCUACCUCUCCCACGCUACCCACGCUUACAUUCCCUCAUGGUAAUCUGUCAAACUAACCUUUUUAUCCAUGGCGUUGCCGCUGAACAGCAUGCGGCCCAAAAGCGACUUGAGGUCGUUCAGCUUGGCGUCAGGCGAGGACUGUGGGGGAAGGGGGAGAGGCAGUGGGAGAGAGGGGUGGUGGAUGGCAAAGGAUGGAACGGUGAAGGGGGGAAACAAACACACAGCGCGUGGGCAAGCCUACCGAGGGCAGGUGGGAUGCGUGACUGCUAUCGCCUAGAAGGCACAACCGCGCAAGCACGCACGCAGCUGCGGGCACCACGGACACCCGCAUCCUCUUCUUCGUGUCUCAGGUCUCUUUACUGGGGCUGGCAAAACAAUCCCAUCCCUCAUCCCAUCGACACGCCACGCCAUGCCCCCCGCCCAUGCCCCCUCCCCCCUUACCUUGACCAGUGUCUCCAGCACCGUCAGCUCCAGGUCCAGCGCCUCCGCCUGGUUCUGCUCAAAGUAGUUGGGCUCGAUGUUGUGCUCGCCCAGGCGCACCGUGCCCUGCGCGUGUGUGUGUGAGUGUAUGUGUGUGUGGGGGGGGGGUUGCACUCAUGAGUGUCUAACAUGUGAAUGCGUAGGGGGAGAGGCGGCAGCGAAUGGGGUUUUGGGAGCAGGAUAUGAGGUGGUGGGGUUUGGGAUGAUGUGUGAGUUGUCCGUGGAACACCGUAACGGGUUUUGGUAACGGGUUUUGCUUUGUCCGUUGCAUCGUACGCGUGCAGCAUGCAUCGCACUGCCACGCCCCCCUAGCACAACGCCGCACCACCCGCGCACCUGCUGCGGCGCCUCGCGGCCCAUGAUGAGCCGGAGCAGCGUGGACUUGCCUGCGAGGGGAGUGGGUGGAUGUGUGGGUGUGUGGUGGCGACACGAGAAGUCAAGGACGAGAUGGAGGGCGAGAGAGUUAGACAGGAUGGCGGGUGGCGGUCGGCAUGCUAUCGUGGGUUACCGUACGUCUCUUACAUGGCUCAGCAAGCCGGCACAAAAAUUCGCCUCCUGUCCUCAACUGUCUACAUCCCCUCAACAAUACUUGCUUUUAAACACAUAUCUCAGCAGCAGUUAUCGUUUUUAUCAAACUCUCACCCGCUCCGUUGGGUCCGAUGAUGGCCACCCUGUCGCCCUUGGCGAUCUCCAGGUUAGCGUUCUUGAACAGCGGCCGGCCCGGGUAGGCGUGUGUCAGGCCCUCAAUGGACAGAACCUGCAGUGGGGGUUACAUUACAUUUCAUCAUUGGCUAUGGCGAGCGGGGGAAAGAGGCACAGUGGGGGUGCGGGGGAUUACAUCACCAGAUGGGGCGCAGGGUGGCGGCGGCGGGGUGGUACAGGGCUCCAUGGCACGGGUUUACGGGCGAGCCCCACGAAUAGCUCCCACGGCAGUGGUGGGCCGCAGCGGGUGGCGAGGCGUCAGGAAGCGGCGGCGGUGAGAGGGAGCCCGCCGUUGCGGCACCAUGCCAUGCGCCUCCCCGUUGUUUCGGUUCGUCAGGACCAUAUUGGAAGUUUGGCACUCCCGGGAACACCAGCCCUGCCCCCCGCCGGCCCUAGGGCCACACACGCCGCCGGCCCAGCCCACACCUUCUGCCCCAUCUUCUCCACGGGCGGGAAGGUGAAGGCUUUGCGCUUGGGCACGAAGGGCUUCUCGAUCAGCCCCUCCGCCUUGAUGCGCUCAAGAGUCUUCUCGGCCUGUGGGUGUGGGUAUUUGUUGUGAUGCCGAGUGCUCAGUACUACAGCUACAGCUCGUGUCGCUUGGAAAUCGUACGCUUGGGAGCCCCCCCCGCCUUGUAUUACAUGCCGCGGGUGACCGGCUUUGGCAUCGGCAUCGGCAUCGGCACGCGGGGGGGCCGUGUCCGCCCCGGCCUCCCCCACCUCCUUCCACCCCAGCUCCCACCUGCCACCCCACAUUCCUCCCCGCCCCAUUUCGUUGGGCUCGGGCACCCCCAACGCCGUCCCCCCCCCCCGCUGUACCGCUUUUCCAACCACCUUUGCAACCCCCGCCCACUCCCCCCCAUCCCAUUGCCCUGGGUUCGGUUAGUUUGGGCUGGUAUCUACGACCCCCCCCCCCCCCCCACACACACACACACACGCCCACCUGGCUGGCUCUGCCGCUCUGCGCGCCCCCUGCCAGUCGCUGCAUGAUCUCCUCCUGCUUGGCGAUCUCCUUCUGCUGCUUCUCCCACGCCGCCCACUGCAGAGCCGUCUUCUCGUUCUGCAGGGCGGAGGACGGGGGAGGGGGUUGGGGAGGUGUUGGGGAGGUGUGGGGAGGUGUUGGGGAGGUGUUGGGGAGCCGGGGUAGGUCGGGCAGCGGGCUGGGAAGAGGUAAGGCGGUUGCAGGGCCGCCGACCGCUUCAUGGCGGGCCGUUUGUGCAGCCCGAACCACUGUCUCUUCGCUUCCUCCAGGCGUCCUGCCUCGCCUGCUCCUGCCCCCCUCCCCCCCUCCCUUCCCCCUUCCCCCCUCCUCCCCCUCCCUCCCUUUCCAUCUCCCCCUCCCCCUCCCCCUCCCUGCCCUCCCUCCCUCACCUUGCUGUUGACGUACUGCGUGUAGUUGCCUGGGUAGGUUGUGGCCACGCCGCGCUCCGUCUCCACGAUCUUGGUGCACAGCUGGUCCAGGAACUCGCGGUCGUGGGACACAAUCACCAUGGGCACCUUCGGGGGAGGGGGUGGUUGCGAGGGGAGGGGCGGAGGGGAGGGGGAAGAAGAGAGUUACACUCGGGGGGUGGCACUGAUGACACGGUACACUCAUGGUACACAUGCCCAUGAGCCCAUGAUUCCCCGCUUGCCCUCCCACGCCUCCUCCCUCCUGCCUCCCACCUCGGCCCGCCUCCUCCAGCUCUCCUGCCUCCCAGCUCGUCGGCCCCGCCCCCUUCCCUCCUGACCCUCCUCCCUCCCUCCCCCCACCUCCCCCAACCUCUCCCUCCCUCACCUCCUGUUUGCGCAGGUAGCCCCCCUCCCCACCUCCUCUCCUCCCUCACCUCCUGUUUGCGCAGGUAGCCCUCCCUCCCUCCCCUCACCUCCUGUUUGCGCAGGUAGCCCUCCAGCCACUGGAUGGCGUCCAGGUCCAGGUGGUUGGUGGGCUCGUCCAGCAGCAGCAGGUCGGGGUCCUAGGGGGGAUGAGGGAGGGGGGGUUUGGAAAGAUUGGUACAGAGAAGUGUAGCGAAGUAGGGGGAGGAGGGGGGUUGCAAAGAUGGAUGGACCAGCGGCGGGAGGUUAGGCAGCGUGGGACAUACCGCACCACACGUCCACAGGAGCGGUGUUGUUUUGAAGGGAGCGGUGUGCCUUUCUUUUUCCGCCCUUUCAUCCGGCAUCCCACGACGCCUCCACCCACCCACCCCCCUCCCACCCCCCACCUGCAGCAGCAGCUUGCCCAGGCACAUGCGCAUCUGCCAGCCUCCGCUGAAGCUGGCCACCAGCCGGUCGUUGUCCUCCUGCUUGAAGCCCAGCUCCGGCAUCAUCUGGUCAAUCUUCUUGUCCAGCAGGUCCACGUCCAGGUCCACCACCUGGCGGCGGUUGAACGGGGAGGGGGGUGAAAGGGGGGAGAGGAGUUGUGUUGGGGUUAUGUGUUUACUUUUGUGGUGCAUCCGCAUCUGCGCCCCCUCUCAUCUUGACACCUCCUCCCACUGUACCCGCACCCGCACCCACACCCGCACCCGCACCCGCACCCGCACCCGCACCCGCACCCGCACCCGCACCCGCACCCGCACCCGCACCCACACCCGCACCCGCACCUACACCCGCACAUCCAUCCUACAUUCGCAAAUCCAUCCCUGUACUCGCGGCAUUCGCUAUCGCUAAACAUUAAUCAUGAAUGUGAUGCGCACACCUUGUUGUUGAGUUUGUCCAGCUCGUCCAGGAUCUCCUGCAUGAGGUCCAUGUCCUCGCCCACGGACUCCAGGCUCACAGAGAGCUCCUCCUGCCGCCGCUUCACCUGCGAGCACACACACGUGCGGCAGACGACACACGCACGCGACCGUGUUAGCAGCAGUAGCCGCAGAGGGGUGUUGUAAAUACCAGAGAUAAGCACCCGGUAAACCGAACCCAAUGCAAUAGAGCGAGGAGGAGAGCGUAGCCUACGCUUUGACAACGGAGUGGCAUGCGACAAUAGUCCCCAUCCCCGAAAUGCACCGAGUUCCCAGCAGUGGUGUGUGUGUCAUAGCCGCAGUAGCCGGGGGGUUAGCAGGGGGCUCAGCACCGUGCUGCGUCCGACGCUGCCGCGCCGCAGUCAGGUGCGUGGCAGCCACAGGAGGUGAGCUGAAGUGGUCAAUCCCCCACCGCAACGCGGCCGCCGCCGCUCCAUCCUCGCCCCGGCUGAGCCCAGCCGGGUCCACUCCUUGAUGCACCCCCCCCUCCUCCCUCCUCCCUCCUCCCUCCUCCCUCCUCCCUCCUCCCUCCUCCGCCCCCUGUCAGCAGUCUUCAGUGCAUCCUGUCCCGCUUUUCCAAACAUCCUUACAAUUCCCCCUUCCCCCUCCUUCCCCCUCCUUCCCCCUCCUCCCCUCCCCCACAGCCACCGCGCACCUUCAUCUGCAUCUCGUACACCGAGUAGAACUCCUCGCGCACGGUGCGCCCCGGCUGCACGUCAAACUCCUGUGCCAGAUAGGCGAUGCGCAUGUUGCGCCGCGCCUUCACCACCUCGCCGCUGCAAUGAGGGAGCGGCAGGAGGCAAGAUGAAAAGGAGGAUUGUUCAGUUCAUGUUCCCUAAAAUUUGGCGCUCGGAACUCUCCAGUCUCCUGCCCUACCCCUGCAGCGCCUUCCCUGCCCUUGCAGAUACACAGUCUGCCCCCGCACCCAUCGCCCCCGUCCCCCCUGACCCCGCAGCAUCCCCGCAAAAGCAAGGGCCAAGCUCUCCUACUCGCUCUUCUGCAUUGGGUUCGGUUUAGUUCGGUUGGUGUCUAACCCACCCCCCAUCCCCACCCCACACACACACCCACAGACGCACACCUGUCUGGCUGCAGACGGCCCAUGAUGAUCUGCAGCUGCGUGGUCUUGCCCGCGCCGUUCACACCUAGGCAGCACGGCGACAGCGGCAAUGACGUGGCAUUGAGCAGACGGUACUACUGGAUUGUGUGUGCAGCGACGGCCGUUUGCAACCCCAAGGCCUUUGUCGUUUGAAAGCCCGAUUGCGCUCCUUUGCUUCCCGCCAUUUUCCCACCCACAUGCACGCCUGCGCCGCUUCCUCUUUCCAAACCCAACCUCCCCCUUCGCACCAGCCACCUCCAGCUCUAUCCGCCCCACCCACCCGCAUUCACCGACCCACCAACAAUCUCUCCUCUCCUCCCUCCGCUCCUUCUCCCGCUCCUCCUCCUGCCCCUCCACUCCACUCACCCACGAGGCCCACGCGCUCGCCCUUCUUGACCUCCCAGCUCACGUCCUUGAGCACCUGCUGGUUCUUGAACGUCAUGGCAAUCUGGGGUGCGGUGCGGGGGCGGGGGGCAGGGUGGGGUGGAGGGAUCGGUGGGGGCGUGUGGGGAAGGGAGUUAGUGGGGCGUGGAAGGGCUGGAAUCCGUGGGGCGUGGAGGCUGAGGCGUGGAGGAGGCUGGGGCGUGGAGGAGGCUGGGGCGUGGAGACUAGGGCGUGGAGGCGUGUGCCCCCGCACAACGCACGCAUUAGCGUUCAGCCCCGGCAGCCGCGCACGCAACCCGGUUCCCAAAACCAUAACACUCAUACAUUCACGCAACGCCGCCCUCCCCCCUCAUCACAUGAACGCCACCCCCCCCCCCCGCCCCAGGGCCCUCACGUUCUCCAGGCGGAUGCCGGAGCUGAUGCCGGAGCUGCCAGUCUUGCCGCCCGCCGCGGCGGUGGCGUCGUCGUUCAGCGUCUCCACGGUGGGCGCGAUGGGCUGCUCCGAGGGGUCGGCGGCGGCGGCGCCGGCGACCGGCGGCGCCGUCGCCUGCUCCACCUGAGUCUGUGUGUGUGUGAGAGAGAGGGAGAGGCGGAGGUGGAGGAGGAGGAGGAGGAGGAGUGGGUUUGGUUGGGGCAGGGAUGUGGGGUUGGAGGAGCUGUUGUGGGGUUUGGCAAGGAUGUGGGGUUUGGCGGGAGGUAACGGAGGGGCGGGAGGGGGAGCGGGGAAGUGGGCGGAAGCGCGCUCGGGUUGAGGCGUGCCCUGGGAGUGCGAGGGGAUUCUGCCCACGCGCAGUGCACAGGUAACGGGCUGCUGUCAUGGCAGGCUGAUGGCAGGCUGAUGUAUUGGCGAUGGAGCGGCGGGGGCGGUGGCUGCAGCAGGGUGCCUCGGGCGACACCGCGUUGACUGCCUGGUGGGUGCAACAGCCUCCGGCAGACGCUGCCGUUCUCGCGGCACCGCAGCUGCUGAGCCCAAACCGGCGCGCUUGCGCGGCCUUAUACUCUUCAGCUGCACACGCAAACGCGCUGUGGACGCUUGGAUGAGGGAGCAGGAGGGAGCUGCGGGAACGCGAGCGCCGGGAGAUUUGGCGGGUGGCCGCUGCGGUGUUUCGUGGCUGCUGAGUCCACAGGUGCCACACGCGACUAGCCCGCGUUCGCCUGCGUUCGCUAGUUCAAGCCCAUCCCAAUCCGCCGUUAUGUCUAUUGUGCGUGUCGCGGGGCCGCGCCAGCGACUGGCAGCCAGCACGAAGGCCGAUGAAGCUUUAGAGGUGCCGGGCGCCUCAACCGCCAAUUUCGCAAGCUGGUAGCCCGGCUGCUUGUUUACAAGUCUGCAAAGCAACUUACCUCAGCUACGCGCACUAUGAUGCUGCUCCGGCCGCUGGAGCAAGGGUCCUGCUGCUCCACGGUCCAUCGUGCCAGGCGAGCGGCAGCCUUGCGACCCAGACGAGAGUAGUUGAUAGGCGCAAAGCGCCGCGGCGCAAACACAGGAGCAGCCGUGCGGCCGCUGCUGCUUGGGCGAUUCUCAAGCACCUGGCGCUGCAUUUCUCUAGUCUUAGCUUGGCCCGAGUCAAAAAGCUACGACUGGCACCGUAGCGACCAGGUGAGUAGCUAAAUGCGGGGUGGGAUGUGAAAGGGCGAGUUCUUUGAGAUGGCCAAAAGCCAAGGAUUGCAGUGAGGGUCGAAAUGGAUAGCUCAAACGUGGUGCAGAUGAAGGGAACACAAACCAAGUAGUAUUGCGCUAAGUGUUGGGGCUCCUUGUGAAGUUUUUUUGUGUGCAAGGAGAAGAACCCUGUCUGCGCAGCGACCGACUGGAGUUAAGCUGACCGCAUACAAUACUGUACAAGCACCCACAUAGUAUACAUACAACCUGACUGCUCACCGCCUGCUCACGGAGACUACCGCCUAGGAAACGAGUGGAGUGGAGCUGGGCAACACCAUCGACCGCUCGCGCAGCGCUACCUAGCGCGCGCCCUCGCGCGACCGCCUGCGUCACGGCUGUGAGAAUGGCGAGCUCUAGAUGCGGCCCGCCAUCGUCGCUUGCCAUCGCGCCAGGCAGCGUCGUGGGCUGCCGGCCCGUCGGCGGUUUGGCUCGCUGCUGCGGUGUCCAGCUGCCAUCCUCGCACCGCGGCCGGUCGGCGAGCUCGGCACGGCUAACGCCGCUUGCCGCGCUAACCCAGCGCUGGAGCCUGACCGGUGCCAGCACCCCAAAACCGGCUAACGCCAGCGCUGCUGCCACUGCUGUUAGCGCCGCGGCUACUGGCUCACAACGUCGACUGGCACCUGGCGCUAGCGGGCGGCGCCCGCUGCUGGCGCCGCCCGCCGCCGCGCCGGGUCCAGGGCCAAGCCUGCUCAACCGUGCCGCCCCGGAAGCCGCUACCUCCCCCUCCUCCCCCUCCUCCCCCUCCGCCUCCUCAUCAGCAUCCCCCGCCUCCGCUGCCGGAUCCGCCGCAGCGCCGCCGCCGCCCACCACCCCAGCCCUGGGUGGCUACCUCUCCCUCGCGUUCGUGCCCAUCCUGUGGGGCACCUACAACCCCGCCAUCCGCUACCUGUACGCGGAAUCCGAUCCGCUGGAUCCAGCAUCACUGACUGCCGUACGAACGAUCGUGUCGGCGGGCGCGCUGCUACUGCCCGCCGCCGUCGGCUACCUGUGGACGCAAGGCGCCGCCGCCUGGCGCCGCCGCAGUGACGACAUCGCCGCCGCAGCAGCAGCAGCGGAGGCAGCGGAGGCGGUGAUGGGAAGCGAUAGCGGCAGCACGGGCACUAGCAGCAGUAGCAAUGGCAGCAGCAGCAGCAGCAGCAGCAGCAGUGGCAGUAGCAGCCACAAUGGCAAUAGCAGCAAUGGCGCCGCCAGUGGCAUUGAUGUCCACCACGCGCCUAUGAGCACAGCCAUGGCAGUGGUCACGGACGGCGCCGCUGACGGCGUGGCAGCCGCCGCCGGCGCCACGCCCGCUGAGGACGACCCCGCGCUAACCACAGCGUCGGCGUCCGCCUCUGCCUCCGCCGCCUCCGCCGCCUCCGCAACCGCCUCCGCAUCCGCCUCCACCGCCUCAUCAACAGCAGCACCCACCACCGCCCUCGCGGCAUCAUCAGCAGCGGCAGCUACAGCCAGCACCCGCGCCAGCACCGGCAGCAGUAGCGCGGGCCUGUUCGCGCCGCCGCUGCACACGGCCCGCCUGGGUCCGGUGCUGACACGCACCUUCAACAGUGUGGUGCUAGGGGGACUGGAGCUGGGGCUGCUCAACUUCAUGGGCACGGCACUGCAGGUGUGUGCGGGGGAGGCGGGGGGGGGCGGGAAGGGGCGUGUGUAUAUUCCAGCCCAACCUAAACUGAACCCAAGUGGGUGGGAAUGGGCGGGGGAAAAGGAAAUGGGAGGGGGGGUAAGUUCAUUCCAGAACUCUAAGGGGGGUUAUGUGUGCUUCAACACCCACACACACACACACACACAUCGCAUACACUGUCUUUGCGCAACGUUUUCCUUGUGCUCUUUAACACACACACCACACACACACACACAUACACACACACACACACACACCUAUUCCAUGUGCACGCAGGUGGAGGGCCUGCACAGCACCAGCGCCACACGCGCUGGCUUCCUGGCCGAGGUGACGGCGGUGCUGGUGCCCGCGGUGUCGUACCUGGCGGGGUACGACAUCCCGCGCCAGAUGUGGGUGGCGGUUGGCAUCGGGUUGGUCGGCUCGACCCUGGUCGCCUACGACGCCAGCCUAGCAGGCCAGCAGGCCAAGAGCGACGGCAGUAGCAGCGUCAGCGGGAGCAGCGGGGGCAGUAGCAGUGGGGGUGUGGUUGCGGUGGAGCCGGGAGCGGUGGCGGCGGCUGCGCCGGCGGCGGCGGCGGCGCCGCCCGCCCUGGCGGUGGACGGCGCGGUCACGAGCAGCAGCAGCGAUAUGGUCACGGCGACAGCAACGGCGACGGCGGCGGGAGAUGUUGCAGCGGAAGCGUUGGCGGCGGCGACAGCGGCAGCGCCGGUGGCGGAGGUGGCGGCCGACGCGGCGGCCAGCGCUGCCGUUGCCGCGGUUGCCAGCACCGCCGCCGUCGUCAACACGGCCGGCAGUGCCUUGCCGCUUGCGGACCCAGCCAUCCUUGCAGACACCGCCGCCGCGGCCGCCGCCGCCGCCGCCGCCGCCACCGCCGCCACCGCCACCGCCACUACCGCCAGCGCCGCCGCCGACAUCGCAGCCGCCGCCGGCGACGCCGCGUUGGCGGUGACGGAGGCGCUCGCCUCGGCAUCGGCCGCCGCCGCGGAUGCUGUCGCCACGACCGCGGACGCCGCCGCGGCCUCCGUCGCUGCGACCACCGCUGCUACUGCCGCGGCCACGGCGGUUGUUGCCGGCACGCCGGGUGCUACAGCCCUGGAGGCCACGGGCGGGGAGUUGUACCUACUGCUGGCGUGCCUCUUCUACUCCGUGUGCACGGGUGAGUGCGAGAGCAGGUGCAGCUGCUUAGCAGGGCAGCUCUUGAGCGGAGCGGAGCUGCUCAGCAGCCUUCGCUUUGAAAUGUUGCAGCGCACGCAACUUUGCUGGUUUCGCGCUGUCCUCCUGCCAGCCAUUGUUCCCGGCCGGUGCCACCGCACGCAUGUCCUUGCAUAUCCUAAUUAUCAACACAAAUACAAACACGCCCAUCCUUGCACACACUCUUUUGCCCUUGAAUGCACAUCGACACACACACACACAUACACAAUAUAGACACGCCUACCCUUGCAUACAGUCUGUUGCCCUUGAAUACACAUUAACACACACACACACACACACACACCAAUACACACACGUGCCUUUUCACACAGUGCGCAUGGGCAUCUACUCGCCGCGGCACGACACGGUGUCGCUGGCCGCCAUGAAGAAGGUGGGGCUCAGCUCAAUGAGCCUCAUGUGGAUGGCCUCCACAAACCUGCGUGAGUGGGCCGCCGGGCCGGGGAGCGAGGGACGAGGAGCGGGAGCGGGAGGGGGAGGGGGCGGGGUUUGUUUCAACCACAUCCCGUGACAGGAUCUCCCCCUGACAAACCCGCAGCCCCCUUCACCGGUGUACUGUUGACCUCACACCCUAUACCUUUCAUAACACCCGCCCCUGGCCCCCUCUCCUCUCCUCCCCUCUCCUGCCCUCUCCUCCCCUCUCCUCUCCUCCAACCCCCUGCCCACAGAGCACGGCGCGGCCCUGGGCUCCGUGUUCUCCUUCCCCGACCUCAGCUCGCGCUCGCCCACAUCGCUGGCGGUUCUGGCGUACAGCGGCAUUGGGCCCGGAGCGCUGGCCACGCUGCUGCAGGUGCGACAUCGCCCCUCUCCAUGCAGCGCUGCAAACUCCCCGCCUCACCCGCCCUCACCCGCCCUCGCCUGCCCUCCCUCGCCCGCCCCUCACCCGCCCCCUCCCGCUGCCCUGCCCUCCCCUCUCCUUAGCCCCCACCCCGCCCAGACUGAUCUGCUGCAACAACCUGUCCACGUCAUCUCGUCUUACCUAAUCGUGCACAUGGCACCUCCCCCCCUACAGGUCCAGGGCCUGUCCAGUGUGCCCGCCACCACCGCCCAGGUCAUCUACAGCUUCACGCCCCUGGCCACCGCCUUCUUCGCGUUCUGGAUCCUGGGCGGCGAGCCCACCGGGCCGCUGUCCUGGGCUGGAGGCAUGCUGCUCAUAGGUGGGUGGGUGGAUGGAUGGGUUGCCAGGUGGUUGCGUGGUCGGGUUGUGCAUAGGUGGGUGGCGGUGGGUGGGUGGAUGGGCUGUCAGUUGUCUUGGUGGGGACUUGCUGGGGGAAACAGGUCUGUAGUUACAUUUUUGUUCUUGUGGUGACCUGUACAGGCGCCGCAUUGAUGGCGGCGAGUGUUCAGAACGCGGCACACCAGCAGAAGCUGCGAGAGCAUGAGGAGGCGACGGCGGCGGCGGCAGUGCUUCUGGCGGCGGCUCAGGCGGAGGCGGAGGCGGCGGGGGCCGGGAGCGCGAUGGAGGCGGCGGGGCCGGAGGCGGGGCCGCUGCCGGCGUCGACGACGGCGGCGCAGAGGGUGGAGAGCGGCGUGAAGCAGGCGGUUUCGGCAACGCGCAAAUGAGGGGACAUGCGGCAUGCGCGGACCUAGUCAGCGAUGAUGUUUGGCUGUGUGCCAGGAGCGUGUGAAAUGGAGCCAAGUUAGAUUGAGAAGAGGAUUGUGAUCGGCGGUGUUGAGGAGCGAGGCAGUCAGCGCGUGGGUGUCGCGCCGCGCUGCUUUCUGCUCCAAAGGUGUAGGCUGUAGUGAGACGUCAGCAAGUGCUGUGUGCCAUGUGUGGUGUGAAGCGACGCUUGCUGUGUAUGUCUCGGUGUCAGCUCGGAAACCUGCGCGAGCGCUGCUGGUUUGAUUCUGAUCCUUGCAAGGGGGGCUGCCCGAUUUUGAAGCAUCUGCGCCCAAGCCUUAAGGUCUUGUAUGUGUUUACCGUAUCAUUGCAACGCCUAUGUACGGUACCUCUGGUUUUUUCGGCUGGAUAGGCCGUACCAGCACGCGCCCGGACGGGGUGUGUUGCAUCUUUGUUUUGCAUUUCAUUGGCUGUUCGGGGUUUGCUUGCACCCGCUGGCGUGCACCCGCUGACGUGUACAGACUGUGCACUGCGCAGCAGCUGUCACCGCGUGGGUUUGUGCGUGGGGUUAAUGUGGGUGAGGUUCAAUCAUCCACCUUACAAGUGUUAGAUGCUCGAAUGCCCCGGGGUGUGUGGAGUCAGGCUAGCGAGUUCCGGCCUAUGCUGUAGUGCGUAGAUCAGAAGAGUGAGGUAGCAGGAGGCAGGCGUCGCCCAGCAAGGCAUAGCGCAUCGUGGCGGGGGCACCAGACCUAGUUCCGCACACAACGGCAACGCUGCGUCAGUGCCUUUGACGCCAUCACGCUGGGGCAAUUCUGUAAUGUCAGCUCCCGCACGGGUGACGCAUGGAGACCAGGGGUGCCCCUGAUGGAGACGAAGGAGGAGACACGUCCGUGAAGCCCUGGCCCGCGUUACAUUUAUGCAAUUGCCAGACUAUCCUGAAGGAAAUUCCGCUAGAAGGCUAUGGCCGCGCCAAUCCAAAAUUCACACCGAUUCGGGCAUGGUGCGGGCACGCGUGUCGUGUUUGCACCGGCUUUCCCCCGGAUUUUGUGGCACAGCGCAUUAGGCAACGUGGUUUAGGCAACGCACUGUAUUAAUACGCGUAUUAUGGAGAGAGGGUCGCGUACUAGGCAACCCUGGUGCUAUAGAGGUUUAAGGGGCGGCUUGGGAAUAUGUGGAAAGGGAAGGCCCGCGUGGACGGCGUGCGGAAUGUGCACACCGGGGUUGUGACAUGCGCCAUCACCGUUCUGGUAAAACUCGGGUUGAGUUGCAUCGUCCGGAUACGGUGCCAAGCAGCAGGCGACCCCGUAUGGCCACUGAGUCCCUUAAUUCCCGUUGCGCACCAGGGUGAUCAAUCCUAGCCGCUAACGGGGACGACCAGGUUCGUGUUAACACACUUGCUGUUCAGCGUAGAGCUGGCUGCUGCUGCGGGGCCUAGGCAGACCGACGCAGACUAAGGCGGCGGAGUAAGGGACAGAGGCAUGCAAGGCUCGUGGGUUGGGUAUGAGUUGUCACAGAGUGAUAGUCAUUCUGCUAGCUUGCGCUGGCGGCAACUCAACCGGCGAGCCAGGUCGCGGUUGAGUGCUAUAAACCCCUCGGCAAGGCCCAUGCAGCCCGCCAUGCAGGGGAUGACAAACCAUCAGCAACACCGGCACACGGGCACAGGCUUCUAGCGGCACGCCCCGUCACGCCCCGGGGGCCUAGGUAGUUGCGCCGUGCCGCACACACGAUAUCACCCGACAGUUGCUUGGUCGGACUGUCCCUUCUUGUAAUGUCGCAUUCAUAAUGUGCACACCGUCUAGCACGCCCCAGCGCUGGUGGCCGGAGCCCGUGCCUCGCUCCCGAAUGGGGGUAGACGUGGGGCGAUUGUCCGUCUACCGAUUUUGUAAUCAGUCAUUUGCGUGAGGCGAUGGGCCUGUGCGGCUCGCCUAGUCUCGGUGUGGUGGAAAGGGACGCACACUCCCAACCUUGCAACGCAACAAUAAGCACGCUUACGCACGUUGUGCGCCACGCAGGCUCAGCCGGACAGUCCGUGCGCACACCAAGCCCGCUUUCCUAAAGUCUACUGCCUAGUAUACGGUAGCUUAGCUCACACGGUUGAAAUGAAAGAGCACGAAUGGCGACCCCGCAAUUGAUUGCAGCGGGCCUGUCGCCAACCAGCCUCCAAGCACCAACACUUCAUUCACCGUAUCAAUCUGAGAGCUCUGCGCGUCGCCCUCGUGUGCCCGUUGCCUAAACGCAGCCUUCAGCUGCAGCAUACUAAUCGACACGAGCAUGAAUCUGCCAAACUUGUCGCACUCACAACCCCCUAUUAAACGUGUCAUGCUGGCAACUCCCGGGCAUUGGUCUAGCCUUGAUUCGCUGCAACCGACCUAACAGUCCUGCGCUAUCUUGCACACACGAGUGCAAAGCACGGCCCGCACAUGCCUGAUUCGGCAUGUUGGGUACUCGAGUAAAAUGGUAUCCUGUGCCCCCGCCCCGUGCCCGCCGCCCGUUUCCGUCAACUCGCCAAGCAACGCACUUCAAGUGGCCUGUCCCCCCACUCCGACAGCCCCAGUCCAACCACAAACACUACAUUAUGAGCUGCGCUCUCUCGCUUUGAACACACCGAAUGCACGCGUCCACCCUGCCUCCUGCCCAAAUACACGCACACGUGCAAAAUCUGUCCUGUUCCCUUUCAACAACUCACUCGCACACACACACACACACACACACACACACACACACACACACACACACACACACACACACACACACACACACACACACACACACACACACACACACACACACAGGCACGCGCACACGCAUACAUACACAAUUCAUGUCCACGUCACGACAUGUCUUCUACUUGUUGGCCUUGGCCAGGUCGCGGUUGGCGAAGGCGCCUGUGGGCGUCCGCCCGUACCUGACCUGGUCCGCCAUCUGCCGGCCCAGCGUGCGGUCCCCCGUCUGCCAAGGCAGCGUCCAGCUAGCCCGCUUGCCCGUUGACCCCAGGCCGCCCGUGCUGCCGCCCGCGAAGCCGCCGCCCGCGAAGCUGCCGCCGCCGGUGGUGAUGGGCGGCAGCUGCCCCGUGCCGGAGGGCGAAACCGGGGCGCUGCUGCUGUAAUAGGCGGCACCGGCGGAGUCCGCUGGUUGUUGCUGGCUGGGGCUGUGGGCGUCGCUGGCGAGCUGCUGGGAGUGGUGGCUGUAGCGCCCAGUGGCGCCGCCGCCGCCGCCGCCGCCCGGCUGUAGCAGGCCGCUGCCGCCGCGCAUGGUCGCCACGGCGCUGUGGGUGAUGUUGGUGCCGUCGUAGGUGGCGGGCGGCACCUGUAGGGGUGAGGUACAGGUGUGUGUGUGUGUGUGUGUGUGUGUGUUGAUGCGUGUGUGUAUAUAUAUAUAUAUGUGUGUGUGUGUGUGUGUGUGUGUGUGAGCGCGGAUGUCAUCCAGCAAACGCACGCACCGUAUUCCGCAAUGCCCUUUAACACACGUACACACAUGCACGCACACUCGUCCAUGCGCACCUGCUUCUCGUGCAGUGCGGGGUUGACCGGGUUGAAGAACUGGCCCGUGGGCGUGCGCUUGUUGUUGGUCUGCGCCGCCAUCUGCCGGGACUCAGCCUCCUGUCCCUGCACCCACACAGACAACCAGGUUGGCGUCGGCGUUCGAGACUAUGGGGUGAAGUUGUGGGCGAGCUGUCAUGUUGUACUACAUGAGGUGUAGCAAUUGUAUAUGUGUAUGUGCCAGUUGCGAGUGAGGGUCGCGCUGCAGCGGCAUAGGCGACAAAACCUGCCUGCAACACCCAGUCUCGCCCAGCCAGCCCUGUUGGCACUCACCUCUAGAGCAGUGUACGAGCCGAUGGGCCUCUCCACCUGCGGAGCAGCAUUGCGAGUGACAGACCUUAUGUCUAGGCGCCCCGGCAGCGACAGCAAAUGGUGUGCGGGAUGCGCGCGGCGGGGGAGGACAGCGGCGCCACUCCGACCCAACGCGGGCAACGCCUGAAGGCCCGGUGCAGUGGUGGCUUACCGGCUCUCGCACGGGCCGAAUACCCGUCCCUGCCGUUGGCAUAGUCGCUCCAUAGAUUCGCUUGUUUUCCUACAUUCAGGGAGCGGGGUCUCAGUCCCAGGAGCGCCUCCUUCGAUGGCCCUUAUACGCAUGGCGUCCCCGGAGGAUAUGUGGGCUUACCUCCGAGUAAUCGUGGAGCAAGUAGUUGAGAUGCUUCCUUCGGUCUGACGACAAUGCUAGUUUAUCGUGUUGCGUGCAGGCGAACGAGGGGUAGCCCAUGGUCCUUGCGCUGUGACUCGAUAGGCGGAGCUUUAUGAUUAGGUUUUGAAGUUGAGUCGCUAAGUAUGGAAUUGUUAACCUGAACGCUGGCAAGCUGUGCGACUUGUGCAUCAAGGCCUGCAUCGGUGCGUGCUGCUCGCUGGACGGGAAUCGUCGUGGUAACCUAUAGUUUCACGUAUGCCAUAACUUGAUGUACUAGCAACUUUGACUGCAUAUCCCUGUUUCCCGCCUCGCUCGGACCGUCGUCCCCAAACACGAGCUUUCGCGGUGCUUCUUUGGAGCUGAUUGGUAUCAGCUCACCUUACUUCACCAAAAUCACCUGCACCACCAUAGGCGCUUUCUCGGCAACGCAGUUGGGCGAGGACCGCCUCGGAAGCCUGAGACGAUGGCUGGAAAGCAGUGUAUGACGCGGUUGCAAAAGGAGUACAAGAGCUUGUUGAAGGUGGGAGGACUGGCGAUGGCGCUAGCGUAGCCGCGACACCGUUGGCUGGGCUGUCGAAACCCCACGCUUCAGCUCCCAUACAGCCCCGGGUUGUCCGGGAGCCCAGCUCUGGAGCUGCUGGGGGCUCUGUGCGCCCAGGCCAUGACCAGAUAGCAAGGCGUAGCCUGCACUGUAGUGAAGCGUUGGCGCAUAUGAGCUCGGGGUCGCGGUGUCAUUUACGAAGGAGCAUUCCUGCUCCGCGUAUCCGAUCGAAAACUCCGGUUCAAUGUUGGCCACGCAGGACCCGGUGCCGCACAUCACCGCGCAUCCCUCGCCCUCCAACCUACUCGAGUGGCACUUCGUGCUCGAAGGCGCCAAGGUAAGGACAGCCGUACACGCACACACACGCGGCAGCACCUGGCGCUGUUAGCUGGCCCGCUCCGUGUCGUACACAGCCAUCGGGCGGUGUUGGCGUUGUUCUGGCCAUUCUGCGGUGGUUGCGGACUUGGAGUGGGCGGCCAAGCCGAUGCAGACGUCGUGCUGGUGCAAGGGAGACGCGGCGUCUGGGUCGGACCCUCGCACCGGCUGCGGCGUGCAGGCGGUGUCACCGGAGCCGGCCAGGCACCCUCUAUCCCGGCCGGCUCUGUGGGACCGGUUGCGAGUCUGGACACGCAUCCACGCAUCCAUCUCCCCCAUUUCCACCUCGCCUCAUGCCUGCCCCAUCCUCUACAGGGCACGGAGUACGACGGCGGCGUGUAUCACGGCAAGCUGGUGUUCCCCGCGGACUACCCCUUCAAGCCGCCCUCCAUCUCGCUGUUCACGCCUAACGGCCGCUUCGCCACCAACACCAAGCUGUGCCUGUCCAUGACCGACUACCACCCGGAGGUGGGGCGGGCAGGCAGGCAGCGGGGCGGGGUGAGGGGUGGGGUGGGGGUGCAGCCCGCAGGCGGGCAGCAGCGCGGCAGCAGGGCUUGGGGUGGGGGGAGGCAGGCAGGCAGGCAGACAGGCAGCUGGGCGGGGCGAGGGGUGGGGGGGGGGGUGCAGCCCGCAGGCAGACAGGCAGGCAGCAGGGCGGCAGCAGGGCGGAGGGGGGGGGCGCAGCCCGCAGGCACGCAGGUGGAGUGGCAGGGCGGCAGGGCGGGAGCGGGGCAAUGUGGAAGGAGGAUGUGGAGGGCUGGGGUUGCCUAGCUUACCCCGCCUUGAAUCGGAGCCAGUCGGAGCAGCCUAAACCGGUUCGCUGAAUCUCGCACGCGCCCAACCCGCCUGCUCCCCGCCUUGAACUCCCCUCCCCCUACCCCUACCUGCCUACGACUUCACUUCUUUAAUUCAUCAUGAAUGUAAGCCCCCUCCCUGCACCUUCGCCUCCGCUGCAGAGCUGGAACCCCAUGUGGAGCGUGGGCACCAUAUUGACGGGGCUACUCAGCUUCAUGUACGACACACAGGUGAGGGGGGGAGGGGCAGACGUACGGCAGACGUACGGCAGGCAAAUGGCGGGGGUGGGGAGCGUACGGCAGGCAGUUGGCCGGGCAGGGCGGGGCCGGUCAGGCACCGCACGCGCAGCUGCGCAGCGUUGGUGGGGUUCUCCGCGGCUGGGUGGUGUACUGGUGUUGAUAUGGCGGGGCAGGGCGCAGCGGUCGCGGUCGCAGCGGUGGCGGUGUGGCCACAGGUGCGGUGCGCCCCGGCCUCAUCCAGGUACCGUAGUUCACCCGCCCAUCCACACACGCCACCAACGGCCCAUCCGCCCAGGCCACCACGGGGAGCAUCACCACCUCGCGCGCGGAGAAGGAGCGGCUGGCAGCGGAGAGCCUGGCCUUCAACGCCAAGAACCCCACCUUCAGGAAGCUCUUCCCAGCCUGGAUUGAGGAGCUCACGCGGCGAGCCACGGCGGCGGCGCAGCCUGCACCGGCGCAGCAGGCGCAGGCACACGCGCAGGCGCAGCAGGAGCAAGCCAACGGGGAAGUGAGUGGGCAAGCGAACGGACACGCAAACGGCGACGUGGCGGCUGCGAAUGGGGGAGGAGGGAUCUUUGGCGCGGCGCGGCAGGGCGGCGGGGAGCAGCAGAACGGGCAAGCCGGCGGGCGCGGCGGCGCGCCGCCGGGGCGGGGGCUGGGGAAUUCGGUGGUGACGCUGGCCGUUGUGGUGGCGGUGCUGGCGGUGGUGUGGGUGAGCAGCGGCAGCGGCGGCGGCGGAGCGCUGUGGCAGUCCAUAUUCUCACAGGGGGCCGCGGCCGGCGGGCACGCAGGACCCCGCUGAGCCCGUGCCUUCCUCAGCGUGUGAACGUACAACUGGCUGAGGGUAGCAGACGGCAGGACGGUGGUCAGGUGCCGGCGGUACGGUCAGCUCAGUUAGUUGCGCAUGAGGUUAGGGUUAGGGCAUGAGCACGGUAGCUCAUUCAAUCAGCGUCGGGCAGUAACCUUUAUGCCGGCGAAAUGACGAUGGUGACGGUGCAUGGCGGACGGCGGGAUCAACACAGGUUCUGAGCUGCGCCUCCGGGGCCGCAGCGGGCGAGCACAGACAGAGGUGCAUAAAACCAGUAGUACGCAACGCGGGGGCUCUAGCAUAUAGCUGUGGACGCUGCCGGUACAUGGUGCUUGCAGAGUGUCUUGUGUGUUCGCAGGCGCGUGUGUGGUAUGAUGGCAACAUAGUGUGCCGGGGGGAAGUGGACGCAGGAUGUUCUGUUGGCUUGACACUUUGACGUGCCGUACGGUGGUGCGGGCCCGCCGGGACUGUAUGCGCGGCGAUAGCUGUCGUAUAGGACAGUCAGCAAAUACACACCCAGAUGCCCUGGCCGGGCGCCCGGAGCGUGAGUGUUGAGUUCUGGUCGGUUCUGGGUGGCCGUGCUCGCUAGUAGUGUUACAGUGGCACUUGUAUAGCGAUAUACACGACACCAAACUGGUAAAGACUAUGCCCUAUAUAUGGCUCUAGAUCGCCUUCUAUACCCAUCGUAAGGCACGUACCCGGGACUCCCACGGUCUCCCCGCCGUGUCCCCACGUCCCAUACUCCAGUGUUCUGACCGAAUACCCGCUAGUCCUCAACAGUGAGGAAUGCACAUCAGCAAACUUCCAGCCAGCCAGCAACUUGUCGGUACAGUAACUCCGGCGUUCGACCAGCCAUGCACUUCUGCAGUUCUGCUCUGCCACUGCAAACUGUUUGUUGUCUGCUUGGGGUACGGGCGUCAGCUGCACCCUAUGGGACCUCGCCAACCUGCCUGAACCCUGUCCCAUCACACACCCAGAUGCCCAGGGCAUGUUCCGCAGCAGAAUGUGGCGUGGACGGGUAAAGCACAAUGCCUUCGCCGCACAGGUCAAACUCCAUCUGUAAGGUCCAAAAUCUCGCGCUCGGUGUUCUGGCCCUCUUAAAUUAUGGGGCGUCCCGCCCACAAAACGGCAGCUCUCGUGGGCAAAUCAAAUGUUCUUCGAUGGGGCUGGAGCUCCGCCAGAGCUGGGUGUCGGGUAGCUGCGGGGGUACUGUAGGUAGUGAAUGUAGCCUGCUCAGGCUCACACGGGCACGAGCACCUGGGAAUGGGUGUGCCGUCUGCGACUGAGGGAGCAGGGCACACGUAAGACUGGUAGUUGGGAGGGAUAUGGCACAUUGGCACUGUGGCUGCUGCCCCGCAGUGCUGCAAUACCGCGCCCCUGGCCCAUCGCGCCACCAUUUGUCCGGAAACUCGCAGUCAGGACAUCACCCGCACAAAGCAGACUUUCGGGGCGUUCUUAAGCGCAGUCUUGAUGUGAGUGCGGAACAGCACGGAAGACAGCAAUCACUGCCCCCCACGAGCUUGCCACUGCUGCCAACCCUAGCACGCUGAUUCCUGCGUAGGUAGGCUUGUCACCGAAGGUUUGCUUCAUGAACAGAUGAGCUCUGAAGCUGAAAACAUACCCUGUUUCUGCAGAUUUCCUAGCGGUGUACCUCCUAUUCCGCAGCACUGCAUGGCGUGUUCACAUCUCCAGAAUGACUUGCCGUGGUUACACACCAAGGACAAAGGAACAUGUACAGAGCAGAAUUAUGUAUCACUGCGUGUGUAUUACACGCCGUGCUGUUGCGAGCCACUCCAGAAGAGCUGCAUGCCUAAGCUUGAGAAUACACGUGGCAAACUGGGGUUGCCAAAUGUGCGGAGAUUGAUUAUCUCCUGUCCUGUUUUCUACGUUGAUCGUCUUCUCUUGGGGGAAAACCGCCUAAUCCAUCAAACCGCACACAGGCGCGCAACGCGCUGGAAGCAGCGUGCGGCCAAACACACAAGCCACAUCAUCCAAGCGGAGCGGCAGGGCGGCCCAGUGCAGACAACAAAAACUGCACCGGCACACCCGCGCACUCCCGUGCACUGCCCUCAGUACCACUCCUCCAGGCGCCCACUCUUAGGCCACCGGAGGUUGCACCCGUACAGCGCGUCCUUCGCACACGGACCCGAGUUGACACGACAGUCACACGUGUUCUAGGUUCCGACGCGUCACACCACCGCUUGCAUUGCAACCGACGCAACCGCUGCUCCUCACUCCAAAGCCGCUUACAUUCUCCCCAUCCUCAUGCUGCUGCUGCAGCAGCUCCAGAGAUGGCCGAAAAUUCAGCUGUUAGGUGGAAAGAAGAGGGCGCUUACAGGACGGCGGCCAGGACGGAGUCCAGCUUGGCCUUGGUGAUCUCCAGCUUCUUGGCGGCGGAGGCCUGGUCCUUCUCGCGCAGGGCGAAGUCCAGGUCCUCAACGGCCUGGAUGAACUCCUUGCGCAGGCCCAGGGCGGCCUUCUUGGCCUCCUUCUCCUUGGUCGAGGCCAGGGUGUUCAGGUCGAAGCGCAGGGUGCCGACCUGGCGGCGCAGCUGCUCGCGAGCCUCAGUCCUGUUGCGAGGGAAGGGGCAGGGUGGUGGGGAGGGAAGGUCAGCAUCCCGUGUGUCGGAAUUCGUUUUGAUCCGUAUUAUGGUUGCUCCUGUAGCAUUUGAACUUUCUUGCGGAUGCCCGUACCCAAGCCGUAUUAGGUCGCGCUGGAAACCCUGAGCAAGCAUAUUGGCCCCGUCUCGACGACAUCGCGCUCACCAGUAGGACUUCUGGAUGAACACGUCCAGGUCAGCGUCGAUGCGGGCCUCAGACUCCUUCACGCGCUUCUUGGUCUCGUCCAGGGAAGCGCGAGCCUGGGUGAAGCCCUCGCGGACGUUCUGGGGCAGGUCCAG
rnacentral:lncRNA from 1 species